UUUUUUUAUUUUUUUUUUUUUGUUUGCCCUUUUCAACGUUUCUUUUCCAGUGCGUCCUACUCCUUAAUUUGGAAAUAUUACAUAAUACGACGUCGCGAAGGGCCGCCGACACACUCGUCAUGGUAGUGUCUAUUACUGUGAGUGAAAAAAAAAAAGCGAAAAAGAAAAUGUACGGAGAGUUGUGUGAUAAAUGUCAUCCAUUCUCAAAGACAUCACUUUAUUGAUUUCUUAAUCUUUGUUUAUCCUACUUCACUUUGAUUAUUCAUAAUUACAGCACAAACUAAUUUUAUUUGAAUUGUACUUGACUACUUUUAAUGUUUUCCGGAAGUACAUAUACUGGGUUUGGAAAUUGGUAUGCCUCACAUAUUUAGAAAAGUUGCUGUGUUUGGACAGUCAUUUUCCGUGGAAAAAUUGCUACGUUUUUCAUGCAUACAUUUUCUUAUCACUUUUUUACCUCACAUACAUCAAAUUGUUACAGUAAUUUUUCUACAAAAAAUCUAGAAAAAUGCAAUCUAGGACUAAGUGAAUUAAGUGAUGAAGAUGAAAACCAAGAUCAUCCACUCUAUAGCUACUCUUUAGUGAUUUCGCUUUGCGUAGUAUAACAAAAUGGUGUUAGUUUAAUACAAGUAGUUAUUUGAAGGUUUGCCCUAAGUAUCUUUAACAUUUUUUCUAUCCGAUAUGUAUAGAGUGUGUUUGGAUUGCAAAUUUAUCUCAAAUAAUAUUUCGCUUGCAUCAUAAACACAUUUCCCAAUCCACAUUUUUAUAUUCCCAAUUACUUUUUAUCUCACAUACAUCACAUCACAAAAAGUGCUACAAAAAUUAUUUCAAAUAACUUUCUUUUUGUCGAGGCGCAUUUGAUAAAAUUAUGAAAUUUGAAAUUUGAAUAUAUUAUGUUAAUGAAUUGUUAAGUAUUAAAAUUUUAAUAUUUGAGCAUGUUUUACAUUAAAUGAUAAGUGAAUAGUUUAUCACUUAUUUUUUGGAAUAUGUUUUGUUUAGGAAAUUCAAUGCUACUUAGGGUGCAUUUGAUAAAAUUAAAAUUCGAAAAAUAUGAAAUAUGAAAUCUGAAAACUGAAUCCAUUAAAUUAUUGAAUUGUUGAAUACUAAAUUUGAUACACUUGAGUAUGCAUCGCGUUAAGUGAUAAGUAAAUAAUUUAUCACUUAUUUUUUUUGGGUAAGUUUUGUUUAGAAAUUCAGUGUCAUUUAUUUAAUUUAUAUGAUCAUUUAUUGUUAGAGGAAACUUUCUCGACAACCCCUAUACUAUUGCCUUUGUACGAUUUUGGCUCCUUAACUAUAAAUUGUCGCAAAUAAGUUGUUGAACCAAAAAAGAAAAUUAGUUUAAGGACUUCCAUCAAUUUUGGCCAUUAAAGGUGACAAAGUUAGGGGCAAAACUAACCAAACAAAUAAAUCAACCCAGGAAAAGAGCCUAAAAAGGCCUCAUUGACUAAUUAUUUCAUCAUAUGAGGGUUAAAGAAGGUGGAAGACGAUAGAAGAGAACAAAAAUUGAACUCCAUGUUAUUAGUUGACUCAAUAUAGUCGGUGUUUAAUCAAAUCGUGGGUUGAUUUUUGCCCCAAAUUCCGUUACAUUUAACCCCAAAAUUAACGAAAAUCCUUAAAUUAAGCAUUUUUUUGUUCAAGGACUUAUUUGUAAUAAUUUAUAAUUGAGGGGUCAAAACUAUACAAAGUGAAUAGUUUAAAGGCUUGCCAGAAAGUUUUCUCCUUUUGUUAUCAAACGCUUUUGACUCGUUAAGAUCUAAAUCCAAUAAAUUUAAGUGUUAAAUUCAAUUAUCAAACAAGGCCUUAAUUAAUUCAAAUAUUUUAUUUUUAAUUAUCAAAUGCAUCUCAACGUAUUAAGUAUUGAUAUGACUCCUUUAUUUAAACUAGCACUAAUAAUUGAAUAAAAUAAACCUUAUGGUUUUGACAUCCGUAGUCGUUUCAACCCGCUUCAUUGUCAUUCUUUUAAAUAUGAAAUUGACUUCACUGUCCCUACUUAUCCUAGGUUACAAAAAAUUGUCAUUCCAUAUGUAUGUUUGUAAAACGUCUUUUAAUGUUCUACUAUGUAUUAAUACACAUAAUAUGCCAUGAUGACCUUUUGACCCCCAAAAAAAAAUACAACAGAAGAAAUAUGCCUCUUACGGUUCUCUCCAGGUAGUACCAAUAAAAAACUAUCAAUAGAAGAAAUUAGGACCGACAAGAAACACACGCGACAAGAGUGAGAGUGCAUAAAAUAUCUAUGAUUACUCCACGUUUUAAGGCUACAAGGUUCUGUUUAUGCUGCAUAGCACAAGCACGAGCUAACAUUGCCCCAAACCAGAUAUUGGACAAUAUGCAUAGACUUUGUGAGACAUAUAUAGGCAUCCAUUUUAUCAAAACAAUCUUCCCAAAUCUUAACUCCAGAAAAUUGGAUCCAUUACUGCAAAAGUAUAGCCACAUCCAAGUAAUCUCCUAUCUGCAGAUGAAAAACAGUCCAGUUAAAGAAGCUUUCAACUACAGCAGAAACUAUGCAUCCUUGCAGGACAUCAUUUACCUGAAAUUUAAGUUCACCUAAGGCCCUGCUGCCAUCGUCCGCCCGCCUGGCAUUUGGGUACGAAUAGGUUCUGCCCACCUUCAACACAAGAAGCAAGGAGCACAAUUUAGAAGUAAACAUGGUAGAGCACAGAUAACUGUAACUACAAGCCGUUUGGUUGUUUACGUGCAUAUAUAACUGUGAUAGCAUGGGCACAACAAUCUUGGUAUAGUAUGCUGCAUCUCUUGAACAGAAAAGGUUGGACAGACACAGCCCGCAUCAAAUUGAAAUAAUAAGAGUAUCGAAUUCGAGAAAACACAUCUUAAUCACGUUCAGAUUACUUCAGUAAAGAUCAGCGCUGACCUAGUUUUGUCCAACAGAUUACAAUUAUGGCAAUCAUAUUAAUAGCUUCCAUGUUUUGACAGGAAAAUUGCAGGAUAACUUAACCAUCUGAGUCAAAUACAUGAAUUGCAACCUGAACCAUCUGAGCUAAAACAUGAACCAAAUGCUCAAAAGACCAGCACCAACAAAAAAUUUGGAAGUAAUGCAGUACAAUUAUCUAGCUCGCAAAUUAAAAAAGAAGCCUCGCCAAGUAUGAGGCCAAUGAGAAUUCCAAUUUUGUCUGUUAAUAUGUGCUAACAGGAAACAAAUGCUGCAGUCUACUGACCAUUUGAUUUGCAAACACUCUGACAAGCAGCAAAUUACAUGAUGACACCCAAUCUUUGAAGUAACUUUUAACCAUUAGAAAAACAGAAGUGGUUCAAACCAAAAGGAACAAGUAUGAAUCAAAUAAAGUUUCAAAGGCAGCAGAAUAUUAAAGACCAUUUGGCAGACAAACAUUAAGAACUCAAACCCCUUUAGUUACUCUAAAUUCCAUGGGCUAUACAAGAAUGAGAGAGAGAGAGAACAGGAUACCUCACGAACAACAAAGCGACCACGGCUAUUAGGAAACACAAAAGCAAAUGACAGCGUUGCAUCUCUUCUUCUUGCUUCGGGUGCUACUUCUUUUACCUAGAAAACAAUUGUAGUCAACAAAAGGACAUGGGAAGGAAUUAUGCCUUCACAUAGUAUAAAGAAAGUCAAGUAUUCUUGUACCAGAUCUGUCAAUUCCCGCAGAGUUGCGUCCAUCCAUGUAUAGAUUUGAACCUCAUCCUUGGGUUCCUUCCCUCUCACAGCAAAAUCCACCUCGUUAUGAUGUCCUCCAAUCUGUAGAUGUCAACAUUGAAUUGAAGCUUACGUAUUCCAUGGCCAUAAGCAAACAAUGGUACAACUCAGGUGCAACUGUUCUAGACCCAAAAAUGGAGACUUCACAUAUUUUAGCAUUCUCUCUUCUUUUUAUUUACAUUUUCCUUUUCUUCACCAUUAAACAACAGCAAAAAGAACCUAGAAGAUAAAUCUGCCUCCUCUGCAACAGCUUAUCUGACUUCCAAAGGUCAAUAUUUCCCCAACCAAAACCAUUUUCUGGAAGAAAAUGGUAGACAAAUAGCUUUAGGUUUGUUAACUAGAUUCAUAGGACUCAAAGUCAGUGAUUUAUACAUAAAAGAAUUAUAUGCAAACAAUUGUAUCACUAGUUAUUGGAACAUUCUUAACCAGAUUAUAAACUGAGAUCACAAUGAACCAUAUAUGGAGUAGAAGAAUGUCUUAUUUUUGUAUAACUUUUAUGCAUCAAUGAAUUACUUGUCUACAUAAUUUUUUCAUCAAUACUACUCUAAGCCUUAAAGUAUUUCCCACCAUAAACUCUUAUUUGGUAUAAAAAGUUUGUUAUUUAACAUUCAUUUAGCAUGCUCCACAGCAAUGAUUACAUUUGGAUCAUAGCUCACAAAUUGCUUUUCAAUAGUGUAAAUAUAACCACUCAGCUAAAGAACUCAUUAAAAAAAAACCACUUUAAACCACUUUAAAAUGAGUGAAAGGGACUUCUUGACAAGGAAAGAAUAUACAUACAUGAAAAGAACUGCCAAGGAAAUGUCUAUGUAUUCAACCUAUAUCCGCUUCUUUUGAAUAGACUAUUUCAAACUCAAAACAUUUUUCCCUGCAUAUCUUUCUUCCCUGAAGACUCAUUUUCAUUUCUAAUCCAGGAUCUUCCUUUUCUUCAGCUUAGACAUAACCUUCUUACUUUAUCCUCGUAAAUUCUUGCAGUUCAUACUUUAUCCUGUUAAAUUCUUGCAAAAAUAUGACGUAAUACAUAGGUAAGAUUUAACAACAGGCCACCAAAUUUGGCUCUAAAAGCAGAGGAAGCAAUAAAGAUACUAAGAGUAGCAAUACUCAAAGACCAUAGGGUAUCUGUCCAAUGGGAAACUCUUAACUAAGUGAAGCACACAUGACAAAUUCUCACAAAUGCAAAGGAAUGGCAAAAAUCUUAUAAUUUCAACCAAUUUUUAGUAUUUAUGAUGCCAAUGAAAUAUUACAUGCACAAGCAUCUCUUUGAUUUCCUUUUUCUUGAGAUUGAAAAGUUCCAUACACCAUGGCUCCCAAGAUAUGAUUUUCCAAGUACAUUAGUUCACUACAAGAGAAAGUGAGCAGCAAGUAAUUGCUAACUGAUUACUGCUUUAUACAGGAACCAAUUGUUUGAACAAGAAUGCUAAGAACACCUAGGCCAAAUAAAAAAGAUUAAAAAAAAAAGGUACACAUCAUCAAAAAAGAAAAAAUGAAAUGCAAACAAAAAUCUUGAGAGUUAAAAGCAUACCUUGGUGAAAACACGAAGCAGUAAAGGACAUGUCUGGUCACAAAAGAAAUAUUAAUCAGUUUGGGAUAACAUAGUGAAAUUUUAAGAAGAAAAUAGCCAGCAGCGGUCCAACAAAUAAAAACUGGAGGUUGGAAAGCAAUGAAGAAAGUACUUCACAUUAUACAUUAUAACCAUCGGAGAGGAAAUAUAUUCGCAUUCUUUACAACACAAGAACUAGAUAAUUUUCUUCCAUCAAUUCCAUGCACUUGAAUAGAAAUUUGGAAUAUCCCUCCUUUCUAAACCCAAAUUUCCAUGACAGAAAUUUCUAAAAAAGUACCCUAAAAAAAAUAAAAGAUUAAAAUUUAAAAGUAAUUAUAUUCUUUACUUCUUCCACCAACAAGCGUUUCAAUGGUACACACAAUGUCGCUGUAAUAAAAUAAUACCAAUCCUUAGUUCUAAAACCAUAAUUCCCAAAACCCUAGAGAGUUCUGAAUGUAGAGACAAAACGAUAGUAAAAGAGAAAAAGCGGCAACCUUCUCUCGAUCGACCGGUACGAAGCGAGGGGCAACCUUGGCAGUGGGUGGCGGUGGAGGUGGACCUCUAGCCGAUGGGGGCAACGGUCUUCCCCCUCCUCCUCCUCCUCCCCCUCCCCUUCUCUGCACUUCAGCCAUUGGAGCUCUCUCUGUCUUCUCUUGUACAAACAAUCAAGAAAAUACUACGGACUUCUUGCUUCUAAGUUGGUGUAGCUUAUAUGGGUUAAUGUGCUCGGCCCAUCUGAGCUAGUGAGAAUCUCAGAGCCGAAUUGGUUCCUUGGCCCACUUUGUUAGACAAGGUCCAUUUGCAAUGUGAAUAACAUUUCUUCUAGCUCUGACUUGAAUAAUCAUAUAUUCGUGAAUUAUAGGCUGUUUUAAAUUAAUCAAUGCUUCUUCAAAAAAAAAAAAAUUUUAAUCAAUGUCCAACAAGAUUUUGGGCUUGGUCUAAAUGGAUUAUUUUAACUUAUUAUAAAUUCUAAUUUUGGAUAAUAUGUUUUUGUGAUGUUCUCAAUUAUUUUUAUAUUCUGAUUAUAAAUUUUUAUUAAUAACAAACUAAAAUCUAUAAUCACAUAAAAAGUAACUCUUGCUGAUUUUGAUUAUUCACUAGAAUCCGUUUCUAUAAUCAAAUUUUGUAAAAUUUAAAGCAACCGAAAACUAAACUUUUGUAUUCACUAGCUCUUUAAAUAGCUUGGAUAUUGGAACCUAGCGCAUCAAUUACAAGGAUUAUCACUAUUCAUUUUUUUUUAUCAAUUAAUGUUUAUUUAGUCUGGUUCCUUCGCAUACAAAUCUAGUGUUUGGAUACAAAACACAGACUUAAACACGAACUCACAUAAAUUUCUUCUUCUUUUUCUUUUUGGCCCUAGAAAUAAGUACUAAAGGUUUGGUGUUGGGCGGACAGGCAGAAAUUACAAACCAGUGCAAUUCAAGUACCGGAGAAGGCACUCUUACAAUAUGGAUUAUAACUCGAGUAUUUUCCCCGACGUAUGUUGUCACAGUUGAUAAAGAUGAAUCACUUUCUUACAAAAAAGUAAUAGUAUAUUCAAAUCUCAAUGUUGAUGUAAGAAUUAUGAUGAGAGUUAUAACAGUAGAUAAUCUAUUAGUAUGCCUAAUUAAGUGAGUUAUGAUCCUGAGUGUAUGUUAUAAUGGUGGAUAAUCUGUUAGUAUCCCCAAGUGAGCUAUGGUCGCGAGUGUAUGUCUAAAGUUAUAAUGACAAUUACGAUGGUGGAUACCACCCGUCCAAAAGUUAGUGGCCAUCACCAAUGCAUUAAGGCUUGGUGGGAUGGGAGGUAAUCCUGAACCUUACCUCCCAUCAAUUUGUCACAAUUAAAUGUGACUUUAUUUAAAAAAUUCAGGCGGUGUGCGUAGUGCACCCGUCUGGUCCGGUGGUGAUUCAAUCCUCUCCGGAUUAUUUUAGGAUCUCUUCAGGCUCUCCCCCUCCUCAUAGUAUAGGAAGCUAUCGUAUCGAAAAAAAAAAAUUACGAUGGUGGAUAACGUGCACGCACCCUUGUAAAUUACCUAUGGUCGCGAGUGCGUAUCUCGACUUGCAAUGAUGACUAGAACUAAAACUACCACCCAAACUUUUUAUUAUUAAAAAAAAAAUAGAAGAUUUUUUUUUUCUUGUUCCAUGUUGUUAAUCUAAGAAUUAAUGUAUUAGGUAGCAUUCCACUAUGACCUUUUUGGACAUGUUUUGAUAGGUCUAACGUUCAAAUGUGACUUAUCCCUUAAGCAUGUCUGGGAAUGUGCAUGAACCACCCCAAAAGUAGGCAGUGCUAACAAUAAUUUAGACUUGCAUAUUUAUCAUUACCUACUUUAUCGACACUCUCUACAAAAUUUUGAUACUUUCCCGUUAUUACCUUUUUUUGGCCAUUGUUAACAUUAAGGUUCCAAGCGUCCACACUUAAGAAAGGCCUUUCUAGUUCCUCCUAGUAUAUAUAUUUAGUAUAUAUUGUGUUCAAAGUUUUCUUCUGGUUGUUAAAAAAAAAAAAAAAGAAGAAAAUGAUCAAUAUGAAAUUAGAUUGAAACACGUACAUCUACAAUUUCAAAUCCAAAUAUAGGCAAAGAAUUGCUAUAAAAUUCGACCCUCAAAAAAUUUUCUUACAUCGUGCAAUUUCUUCUUGUUGUUCGCCGGAAUUUCCAUUUUCUUCCCAUCAGUCAGAGACUUUCCUUGUUUUACCCAGUUGAAUGAAAAGCAACCUUGGAAAUCCUUUUCCUUCUUGGGUAGCUUGGCUCUUAUAAUUCUUACACAUCCUAUAUAAAUGAAGUCCAGGCAGAGCAUAUCUUCUGUAGGAGCGAAACAUCCUCCAUCGGCAAUUAAAUUUAUGGUCCCAUAUCCUAAUAAUACUUUUUAAAACUUUAAACUGCAGGCCGACAAAGAACUCUUCUAGUGAGACAAAUAUUUUAUACUUGAGAGAAAUUGCAGUUUUGGGUUUUUGGUUCCAAAUAUUAAUUUGGAGCACGAGUGCUUCUUCUAGUCCCUAAAAUUUGGAGAAAAAAAAAAAGACAAAUGUAGUUCCAAAUGUUUCAAUCUCUAAGCAUAUUUAAUCCUAAUGACUGAUUUUUACCAAUUGCUACCGGAAUCCGUCAAGUGCUAGCUAUUACGUAUCAAAAACUAAUUUUUUUUUAAAGAAUUGAAAAAAAAAUUUGUGGCCAUAAUUAAUUUGUAGUAACAGAUGACUAGUUACUCGCAUGGUGAUCGAUCACGUGAGUAAUUAGUCUUCAGCCUAGAAAUACAAAAAUUCAAUCGACAAAAAAAAAAAUAAUUUAGUUUAGAGACUAACUGCUCACGUGAUUAGUAUAUAAGUAAUCUUUUAUUACAGUUAGCAAUAUUUCAUUGAUUUUAAAACUUUUUAAUAACUAAUUGUUGGCACAUGAAUUCCGAUAGUAAUUCAUCAGAAAAUCAUCAGAAACUCAAGAAAAUGGCGAAGUCGUUGUAAUUAUGUCAAGCCUGAUGGGAGGUGGAUGUAAUUUACCCUUGUCAUUAACUCACAGGUCACAGCAAUAAUUCGGUCCAAGGAAUAUGACAUAAUUGGAAAAAUAAGACAGAUGAGGGUAAUGUGCACCCACCCCCUUACCCAUAUCAUUACCUUUUCCCUUGGCCGGGAGGGAGGGAGGGAGGGGGGGUUUGCAAAUGGUCCCAUGUUUUUAGAAACACAAGAGUACAAAUGGGGUAUCCCGAUGUUGAAAUUUGAAAGCUCCACCGAUAGGGAAAGGAUUGGUAGGAAAUGGAAAGAGGGCUUUAAAAAACCCACUCCGACCAUUAAAAACCUUCUCAAAAUGGAAAACUCUAACCACCACCACCACAGCCCAAAGUCCUUUGCCCACUGUGGAUGGUUUAGUUGCUUUGGGACAAAAGCAAAAGCAUGGGACUUUCAUUGAUCAACCUUCAAUUCAAGAGCAAAUUAUCUCAGACGGUCACUAAAGUUUUAGAAUCGUUGAGUUUUGGUCAUUGAAUUAUUAAAAAUUAAAUUUUGGCCAUCGAACUAUCUAAAGUUUAAGUUUCGGGCCAUUCCGUUAGAUUUGAUCGCUAACUAUACCUUUUUCUUUUGUCUCAUAAAUCGUGCGGACACUCAAAUCUGGUAUAGUUAACGAUCAAAUCUAAUGGAAUGGCCCAGAAUCUAAAUCUUAGAUAGUUCAGUGGCUAAAAUUACACUUUUAAUAGGUCAUUAGUGAAAAUUCGAUGAUUCCGAAAGUUUAGUGGCCAUCCGAAUAAUUUGCUCUUCAAUUCAAUGUAGCAUAGUAAAAGAGACUAACUAUAAUUGUACCCUUCUACAUCAUCAGAAGAUAUUAGAUAUUAGUAUUAGUAGUAUAUUAUUUAUUUGAUAAAAAAAUUAUAUGAAUUUGAUUUCGAUCGUCACCACAGAUAAGAACAUAUCCCAGAAUCAUGCAUAGAAGUAUUGCGGCAGUACAUAUAUUGACAAACCAUAACCAUGCAUACAUGGACCAAGCUUUAUUCUCAUGCAACGCUAUACUUCAACAACAACAACUACUACUCCUACUGCCAUUCUUUUGCUGCAUGCCUUUCUAUUUUUACCAUUACUUUCCUACUUGCUGCCCUUUGUGGUUAAAUCUUUGCAAGUGGUGCUUUGUCGUAGGAUUUUCAUGAAAGAUGAAAGGGUGCAUUCUUAGUCAUUCCAAUUCAGUUAAAACUUUGGGGCCAAAUUUUGAACCAGUGCAUGUGACUGUUGUACAGUGGUAUUGUCUGUGUCAAUUAUUGCACUUGGAUUCAAUUUAUGCCACCGAAUUGAAAGGGCAGGUACGUACUAACCCGCUUUAUAUUCUCCUUUUUUUUUCUUUUUCCUUUUUGGCUUAAUUUGAACCGGGGAGUGCAGGCAGCUGAUUAAUUUGGUGAUUUAUUAAUAGUCUAAUCCAAUUUCCUUUUGUAAUUGGGCAGGAACCUGAAUUUAAAAAAUUGGAUAUUCAAUCUAGUUUGAUUGUUGUUGUUGUUGUUGUUAAUUAUACCACCCAAAUUUUAUAGACUAAUUUUUGCACAAAAUGUCAAACUUGCCCUUCUCAAGUCCAAUUGCAAUUAGAACUUAAAAGGGGUAGUCUUGUCAUUUUAACAAAAAUUGCCGUAGAAAUAAAAUGCGUGUUGUGUUGUGGCAAUAUAUUAUUAUUAUUUCCCAUGGAUCACAGUCAAAUUAGAGUUUACAGGAGGACAAUUUUCAAUAACAGAAAGGACUGUCCUUUUUUAAAAAAUCUCCACUCCCUAAUGUAAAAUUGUUGAGCUCUUUCACUGGUCGGAAAAUGGGUACAACAAAUUACAAGAGUUAAAAAAAAAAAAAACUUAACUGACGUCCACGUCUAAUUAAUAAUAAGCUAUUGAGUCUUGAUCGUGUUUUAGUACUUAGCUUCAAUCAGUCGACUUGUCAGAUUUGCCUAGCUACCUGGCUGGUUUGCACUUUACACCAACCUAUGAUCUUACCAUCCUCCAACAUGGGAUUGAUGUUGAAGACUGAAGAGGCAUGUUUUACAGUUUAAUCUUCUUGUCUAAAAUAUACCCCAAAGUAGCCUUUUCCAUCUUUAUCUGGUGAUAACUUCGACUCUAAACAAAAUCAACCAUCUGUAAUUAAUCAAAUUGGCAAAGCAUGGUAUAACUAGAAGUGGCAUAGCUAGAAACAAUUUUUCUAAAUAUUAUAAUCUCCGUUUCGAUUAGCUGUUUUUUAGGAUGUUUUUGAAAAAUUUUACUGCAGCAAAGUUUUUAGAGUAUAUUUUGGGAUAUUUUUAGAAAAUAUUUUGAAAUAUUUAAGAGUGGUAGAAUUUUUAAAAUAUAUUUUAGGAUUUUUUUAAACACUAAAAAAAUUUUAGACUACUUUUUAGAAUACCUUUUAGAGUACUUUUUACAAUUUUUUAUAGUAUUUGAAAAAAUAAUUUUUGAAAAACUAGAGGAUGCUUGUAUCACAAACACAAUUUUCAACCGCAUUUUUCUAAUCCCGUUUAUCUUUUUAUCUUACACGCAUCACAUCAUAAAAUGUGUUAUAUUGUUAGGUUAAAUAAUUUUUACAAACAAUCUCCUAUCCAAUGAUGCCCUUUUUUUUCGGUGACAAAAUCUCUUAAAUGACCUAUGUUUGAUGAAAUACACACUCUAUUAUCAUGAAUUUUCACAUGAAUAGACAUUUUAUGACUUUUUAUCCACUGUCCUUGACCUUUUUUUUUUUGCCUUUUUGGUUGGGGUAAGUACUGUUGUUGGAUCAUUUAUUGGAUAUUCAAAUCGAAACACAUUUUCAUAAACCUGAACAGACAAAGAAAUGUUUUUACAGCAUUAAUGUUUGUAGUACAGCGACAUGCUAAUUGAAGAAGUUAGGCUUGCCGAAAAUAUUAAAUUUCUUCAACUAAAAAUCCACAUCUUGGCAGAAAAACAUUCAAGGAUGUCAUUUAAUAUCAUGCAUAUAUUCUGUACCCAAUCAAGAGCCCCAGGCCAGAUGAUGAUGUUAAGAUGUUAUUUUUGCUUCUCAUCUUAAAGUUUCAUGGGGCACCAGAUUACCACAGCCUAAUUAUGACAACGCAAGUGACAGCUCUGCUUUCCCAAUUCUGGAAGCAAUGAAGGCAUCCGAUUAUUUCGUAGGAGAUUAAGUGUGUAAUUUUGAAGACGACAGCAGAAAAUGAAGAGCUUAAACUGGCUACAUCCUAGUAAGGCAACAAGAUGCUUCUUCUUUUCAGGGUUCAACCAUAGUUAUUAAACCCGGUCCGUUAAGGAAUCCAACAGAGGGAUUGGGUCACUGGUUGAACCGGUGAGUAUUAAUUUAAUAUUUAUAAAUAUAAAAUAGUAAUUUUAAUAUGUAUAAAAUAUAUAAUAAAGUGCUUUUAGAUGCUAAUUAUUAUACUUAGAAAGAUAUAUAAUUAAUAUAUAGAUAUUAAUAGAAGAUUUAAUUUCAUUUUAUCGUACUUUUAAAUAAAUAAAUAAUAUAGUCAAGUAUAAAACAAAAUUUAUAUCGCUUUUGUCAAAAAAAUAUAGCAUUAUUUUUUAUUUUUUUAUUUUUUAUUUAAAAACAAAGUAAUUUUCUAACUAAUCAAAUAUUGUCAGUUUAAAAGUUAAAAGGAUUAAUUGUAUAAUAGAAAAAUAAACAAGUUUAUAAAAAAAAUAUUUAGUUAUCAAAUAAAAGCUAAGUAAGUGGUAAAGUCUAUAUACAUUUAAAUGAAGAUCCAAUGUACAAAUCUUAUUGAAAGCAUAUAUACAUUUUGUUUAAAAAACAAAGGCCCACAAUUAAAAAAACAUGUAAAUUGGGUCAAUUAAAAAAUUGGAAGGAUUCGUUGUUGAACCAUUGGGUCAACCGUAUUUGUCCAAGUCAAUUGCUCGUCUGGUCAAACUAGAGACUUGGCCUGAUCGAAUGUCCGGAUCACGGGGCUGACUGGUUCAACCGUCGGACUUGAUCGGGUUUAAUAACUAUGGGUUCAACUGAAAAUGUAGCUUUAAAAAGGAAAAUGGAGAAGGCUUUUAGAGUUGAAUUAGAAGCCUCGUCUUUAUCUAACUAAUGCCUUCGCCCUCCAGGGCUUGGUCUGGUGGUUGAGGUUGCUGAAAAUGGAGUCUUAGGUCCCUGGUUCGAACCUUGCUGCUAGCAAGUUGUGGAGGGUGGGGAAUAGUCUGCGGGGUCCACUCCCUGCGGGACACCCCUAAAAAAAAAAAAAUCUAACUAAUGCCUUCACCAACUGAACUGGGUUUUACGUCAAAAUGCUUUUCUUAUAGUUAACGGAAAAUGAGUAAUAUCUAAGCAAUUAUAUCAGACAACAAUAUGCUCUUACUAUAGUUCACACGAAAUAGAUUGGUUAUUGCGUUAAAUUUAGUAACUGAGAAUGAUUUUUAUGCAAUUUCUUAAUUUUUCAGUAAUUAUAUGUGUGACUUACAUGAAAUAGUCAUAAUAGCUAAAUUUACUGAUUCUACAAUAUCAAGGCACAAGCAGGGGCAACAAGAUUUUCAAAAUAUACGAUAUACUCGAAGCUUGAAUUCGUGAUCAGACAAGGCGUUGUAGCGUUAGCUCUGAAUGUACAAGGCAAAAAAGAGUGAUAUCAUAAGUUACAGUAGUAAAUAAUUAGCACCUAAUCAAUAACUGCCAACAAUUGAAAGAAUUUACCAACAAUAAAACUUUCAUUUAUUUCCAAAACAACCCAAUUAUGUUUCCCUAAUUCCUCCCACAAGCAUUAUUAGCUGGCAUGUGGACCUACUGAUACAGUACUGGUGGUUCCAAUGUUGCAUGCGAUAAAUCAAAAUAAAAUACAGUAUCAGUCAAGAUAUGCUCCCGAAAUUAUACAUCGUUUAUAGGAGUUUUUACAUAUCGUUUACAAUCUUUACAUCGACAUUAAUGGGAUUCGAAAACAUGAUUCUUUAUGAGGAAUGACCGUCGUUAUCAACUGAUCCAACUUAUAUUAGCACGAAAAUUAUUCUUUAAUGCUAACAAAAGAACCUCAUUUAUGUCAUGUUGAUGGAGGUUGACUUCCUCUAAAUUCCUCAAGGUUGGGCAAAAAAGGUGUUCGUCUAAAGGUGAUUCUUGAAAAUUAGUGAUUGGAGAAUCAUUUCCAGAAAAAAAAAACUUAAAAUUAAAAUAAGCAACUUCUUAUUUGAAUGGAGCAUUUGUAAUGUCGAAGUCUUACAUGCAACCCCAAUAGCGUCAUUAGAUUCUGCCAAACGGACCUUAGGUUUCUUUUGCUCUGCUAUAUUCUGAAUUCUUCGUAAAUUGCUUGAAUCCUCUAAACAAAAUUAUACAAUGGCUGAUAUUGCACUAUUCCCUUAUAAAUCUUUUCAAAUUUUAAUUAGUAAAUCUGAGCAUGAAAGUCCAAUAAGAAAAAAAAAAAAGAAGACAAGAAACAUACACUUACAACAAAGAAAACAAAGAAAAAAGAAAGAAAAGAAAAGUCAUAUGGAGAUAAACGUGCAAAGGGGUAUAGUCAUUUCAGUGAUAAAAGUAGAGGGAGAGCGCAAUUGAUGUAAAAUCGCAUUGUCUCAAUGUCUAUGCCUGAAUUCUGAUGUGCCCACUGGCCCCUGGGUUGGGUUUGACAAGAAGAAGGACGAAUUUAAAUUUAUCAUCACCAUUGCCUGAGGAGCUCCCCCUAGGACUGGGGCCACAUCACACGUCCAUCUAUUCACCUGGGAUACAUAUUUAUACCGCAUCAUCCAUCCACCAUUCAACUAGAUGCAUUUUGUGCAAUGUCCAGUUAUUUUUUUCUGAUUUUUUUCUUUUUUUUUCUUUUGUAGAAAUGUCAAAUGAUCUUUCCGGCUUUCAUCGGAGCUUUUAACGAGUCGAAUGCUUGGCGUUUAGAUUCUAUUUGUAUAUUAUACAACAAGGUUCUAGUUCGAUCGAAUAUUAAAUAAAUUAUAAAUAUUGUUCGAAUUCCAUUUUUAAUUUGUAUAAAUAUUCGAGUUUGAAUUCAAAUUGUGCUCGUUAUAUUGAACGAGAUGGCUCUGAGCUCAAGUUCUAGCUUGAAUUUGAGUUUGAAAAUUAUUUAAUUAUACCUUUCUAAAAAUCAUACAUGAUUUGGAAUAAAUUUAUUUAUGUUUCUUUGUUUCAGAAAAUAAAUAAUACUAAUUUAUGUAUAAUUACAUAUUUGAAGAAAAUACAAGAUAUAUAUACCUAUAUUUAUUAAUUUAAAACGUACUUAUACUUAUGUUUAAUUAUUCUUUAUAAUUAUCUAUGUAUUCACGAAUCUAUUCGAAUAAUUUCGCAAUAAAUUUGUGUUCGACUCGAUUAUCAAACAAGUCUAAUAUCAUGCUUAAAAUUCGAACUUAAACGAGCCAAAUCAAACGUGCUCACGAACCAUUUCUUACCCUUCCUUGCCUCACUGGCAUGUGAUGAAGGUUUUUUUUUUUUUUUUGGGAAUGGAUAAGAUUCACAUGUGAGUUUUUCCAAGAUUUAAGGAAGCAAGCUAAUAUUUUCAUAAACAAUUUUUUUUCGCAAUAAUAUUUUAAGGAUUUUUCUUAUAGAAUGAACUCUAGUUAUUACACUUAAAUUAUACCUAACUGACAUGUAAAUAUACGUAAUUACAAUUAUUACAUUAUCUCUAAUUUAGACACUUUCUUAGAUCAAUUAUACUUUUUCAAAAAAUUAACACCUAAAUCCUUUUUAACGAGUGCCGGUUGGGUAUUCAUUAGCCAAAUCGAUAUUUUAAAUCAUUAGAAUCCUGGAAAGAAUAAUUAUAUGAUUAAUUCAACAACUGUGGCAAAUUUUGUUAAGCUUACCCAGAAUUAAAAAUAGAUCAGCAAACAAAAGAACAUUGCCAAUGUCUUUGAAGCCCAAAAAGAAUAACAUUACGUACCAAGCUUUUGCUAAGUCUAACUUUAUUUCUAGAAUUCCCCCAAGAGAGGAAAAAAAAAUAUUAGCCCAAAAAAAUAAUUCUACCAAAUAAUCAACAUUUCAGACUAUGUAGAAAAGUCUGAUCACAAGUCCUGGUUCUAUCACCUACUUAUGUUAACAAAAUAUUUGUCGAAUUACUUUCCUACGGCGAAUAAGAAAAAAGUACUGCAGUCUUUAUUGUGGAGCAUAUGUUUUGUUGAAGUAUAACGAAUAAGAUCACAUGGCUUUGAAGGUUGCUUUUUUAUUUGCUUAUUGCCGAAUAUCAUUUUUGAUCUUGACGACACAAGCCUUAUUGUCGUUCUAAUAUCUUUUUUUUUUUUAAUUAUUGUAAGCUAAAACCUUUCAUUCUUCUGUAUACAACCGAUAAUGUAAUGUUCAUAUGUAAUGGAUUCAAAUCUUAAUAUGUUCAAACUCGUAUUUGAUAAUCAAAAUUUGAACAUAUGAAUUAAUUAAUUAUCCUUGAAUUUUCUAGGUAAAACUUGCUCCCAAAAAUAAAUAAUAAACUAUUCACUUAUUACUGAAUGUGAUAUACAUUCAAAUGUAUUUGAUUUAAUGAUUAAUAAUUCAAUAAUUUAAUGAAUUCAGAUUUCAGAUUACAGAUUUUAAAUUUCAAUUUUCAAUCUUUAGUUUUAUCAAACGUACCGUGAGUCCCUUUUUGCACUUAUGGGUACUUGUUCAAAUGAAGGUUACCAAGUUUCUUCUCCACGUUUCGGGCACUCAGACCUAAGGAAAAUGGAGUUAGGGUACAAGUUUUUGUUUGGGUCAACCAAAUUUAUUAAUAAAUAGACUAAUUAACUCGUCCCCUCAACUAACUCAUUGUCCCAAGCAUCGCGCAUGACAUUCACUGCAAGUGAGCGAACUAGUAAAAAGAACAUUUUGCCUUUCAUUUUCUGUUUGUAGAGAUGCAAAAAAUGAUUAACAAGGAUAUUUACGACCUCUUGAGUAUCAGAAGAGAAACGAGUCUAGUCAAAUCGAACAUCCUAUUUAUUUUAACGAAAUUAAAAUUUUGUUCAAAUUUAGUCUAUUUAUUUGUCAAAUCGAAAUUGAACGAGAUUUUUAUCGAUUUUAAAAGUUGUCGAACAUAAAACGUCGUUCAAAUUUGAUUUGACUAGUUGGCGAACUAAGUUGGAACGAACUCUUAUGAAGUUGAACUUAAUUCGAGUAUCAAAUAAUUUGAUUCAUCUUUCAUCCUUGCCAGAUGAUGAAAUUGACUAGAGAUCUUGUGGUUUAAGGGAUGCCCUUCCCUGAAUAAUCAAAUUUAUACCAACAAUUAGAAAGGAACGCAGCAGAAUAAUACUCGAGAACUUUGUCCCGGGUCUUAUGAUUCAUCCAUGUACCAGGCACCUAAUUUUUGCAGCUUCAAAUUAAUGAAAUAUCAUUCCAGUUGUUAGCAUUAUAUAGAGCUUAAUAGAUCAGAUUAAACACACUUCAGAGAUACAAACUGGAAACUUAAGAUUUGGCAUAUUGGAUGCAUUUGCCAGAUUCGGAAGAAGCACAGUUAAUGUGGGUUUCAAAACAAAAAGAAUGAGAAUUAAAUUUCAAUCAUACUCGUGAAUAAUAAUAUUGGUUUAACAUCAAUUGGUAUUAGUGAAUGGCUUUCAUGAUUAAUCAAGUAUUAAAGAGUAGAAUUUCACUUAUCUAUUAUUCUUUAUUAUUAAAUCAACUACUGUAAAGUUAGGUUACCAGAUGCUAUAUGGAUUUUUAUCAAACCUACUUAUUUCCUAAUUUAUAUACUCAUAGUAAUAGUGAUUAUAAAAUUUGAAUCAAACUGCACCUUAGAUAGUAAAUUUUCGAACUUAUAUGCACAUGCACUAUGUAUACGUUUGGUAGUACUUGCACUAUGUAUACGUUUAACUACUAAACCAAAACUUCCUCGUCAUAAAGAACCUUUUUUUUUUAAAGAGGAUUAAACGUGAUUUUUCACUUAUUCCCUUGAUGAGUCGAUCCCGUGGCCUCUCAAUUAAUGAAGCAUUUUACCAACUAAGUCGCACUUCAUUGAUGCGGCACUUGAUGAUCGUCUAGAAAGGUGUUGAAUAUUUAUGUGGUUAAUGAGAAAAUGCUCAACUGCAUGACUUUUGGUGGAUUGGUCUGGCAAAGAAUUUCCUUUAUGUGUUUCAGCUUUCAAACAAAGAUUGAGCAGUUGUAGCAUUUUUCACAUCGAAGUCUAGUUGAAAUUUGAAAGAGAGGAACAAACUUCAUGCCAGCCAUAUAUAUAUUUCGGACUUUGACCGAAAAAGGUUGUUCUUCAGAUCAGCUGCAUGAUUUGAUUAGGCAGGAUGACAAUUAACCUUAACAGAAAUUCAGGUGUUUCCAUAAUCUCUUGUAUUUUCUUGAUAUGUACGGACAUGUUCCAACAUCCUUAGCCACGAAUUGAGGAUAUUUAAUUUUAGUUAGUGGCCACAAUCCAGUUUAUACUUUAUAUCAAGCCAAAUUAGUGGUCCAAAUCUGGAAUCAUCCUUCCACACCCCUUCCCCUCCCUUUUUUUGUUUUUGUUUUUGCAUGGGAUGGCUCAAUGGUAAAGUUUUUCCUUUUUUUUUUUUUUUGAGAAGUUCAUAUUCAAACGUGCUAAUAGCAGUUCCCAGUUAACAAGCAAUUUGUAAGACUAGAAGUAAGUCUCUAAUUAGUAAUUAGUGGCCUGCAUCGACAUUAGGUAGAGUAACAUUUCCUUAUUUUAAACUUUCAGCAAAAAAAAAAAAUCCUAAAACAGAAAUAACUCCACCAAAGCUGGAGACUGUCUUUCAACAAUUAUAUCAAAUUUGAAUCUAUCUAUCUCCCAAAUUUUCAUUCCUUUUUGGAUGGCUAAGUCUUUUAUGAGAAAUUUUUAAGAAACAAUCUAUUGCAUUUUUCAGGCACUUCUUUUUAAGGGGAGGUGUUUUGGUAAAAUGCAGAGAAUUAAAUAAAUAUAAAAAUUAUCAAACACCUCAUUGUCUCACGUUCAUGAUUUAGAAAAAGGGGCUAAAAUUCUCAACAGCUACUAAAACUAUUGCAUGCCCACAUUGACUUAUGACCAUCAAACAAUUUUUUGUCACAAAUUAACACUAAACUAAGUAAUCAGUACACCCGUUGCCAUUUUAUCGAUUAUUACUCUUAAUCUACAAAAUAAUCAGAACACGUGUCCAAAUGUAAAGGUGUAUUUGUCCACCAUGAGUUUUUUUUUUUGUCAAAACAUGGUUAUGAUUAUUUUAUAGAUUAAGAGUAAUAAUCGAUGAAAUGGUCAUAGAUAUGCUGAUUAGUUAUUUUAAUGGCUAAUUUAUGACAAAAAAUUGUUUGAUAGUCCAUUCGGGCAAUAGUUCAAUGACUACUCAAAUUUUUGCCUAAAAAAGGCUAAAAUAAAUAUUAAAAAUGUUAUUUGCGCUCUUAUUUUUUGUUAAUCAUACUCUUGCUAUUAUUUUAAUCAUAUAAUUAUCAUUUAUUAGAUUAUAUAAUAAAAUAAAUGGCAAAAGCGCAAAUAAUAUUUUUCUAAAUAUUUUAUACAUGUACCCACAAAAACGAAAUAAUUACUCAGUCAAAGACACAAAGUAGCUCACCCUACUCCCCACAAAAGGGGAAAAAAAUAGCGCAAUGACUUAGGCGCGUGAGGGUGACUUUGUUACCCCCCAAAACUGGAGUUUAUACUGCGGUAACAAAGAGCAAAAUUAAAAGAGCAAAGUUAUGCAGAAAAAAGGAGAAUUGUAUAGAAGAAAGAAGUGGCAGUACACUAGCUGGUAACUGCACCAAAUUGAGUAAGAUUUUCCUUUUACUCUUUGUUUUUUCACAUGAAGAAAAGGUAGGCAUACAUAUGUACACUAAGGAAUCCAGAAAAGAAACAAAAGGUUGCAACUAUUGUAAAAGAGAACAAACACUAACAAAAGAAGAGAAAUUAUUGUAGGUUUUCCAUUUUCUUGUAAGAGAAGGUCCAAGAUUAAAAAUCUCCUUCUGCUCCACCAUUUAUAAGGAGGGAGGAAUUUUCAGUACUCGCUAGCUACCUUUAUUACUUCAGUUCCCCAUCUAGCUGGCUACCUCCUCUUCCUUCUGUCUAUUUUAUCUAUUCUCAUCCCAUUUAUGCACAUGUACAAACUCCUGUAGAUAAUACUUCAGUGCCCCUGGCCUCUCCAUAAGACAAUAUAUAUUCUCUUCUCUUCACAUCCAAGAAGACCAUCACACUUUUUCCUGGCUGCUUGCACGCACACACACACACACACACACGCUUGCCAUUCAAUCAUAAGUUUUUUUGUAGAAACAUUUUCAAGGGGAAAAAAAAACAUGGGAAGAGGAAGAGUAGAGUUGAAGAGGAUAGAGAACAAGAUCAACCGUCAAGUGACUUUCUCUAAGAGAAGAAAUGGUCUGCUCAAGAAAGCUUAUGAACUUUCUGUUCUUUGUGAUGCUGAAGUUGCUCUCAUCAUUUUUUCAAGUCGCGGCAAGCUCUACGAGUUCGGCAGCUCUGGGUAUAGAUGAUAUUCAUAUAUAUAUAAUAUUUGUGUUUACCUUUAUUUCCUUUUUGUGUAUGUCAGAAAAGCUUCAUGUUGAAGAUUUUGUUUUCCUUAAAGAACCCAAUAUACUACUCUCAAUAACCCAUCAUGAAAGACACAUUUUGUUUUUUUUUUUAAUUCUUCUUUGUUUCUGCAUGUUUGUUAUUUUAGUGCAAAGAGGAAAGGGCAAGCCCCGGUGGUCAGAUUCUUAUGAAACUGCAGUUCUUAUAUGUGGGCUUUGCUGCUUUUUGAACCCCUUGAGUUCCCUUUUUCUCGUUGUUUUCGUUCUGUUGUUGGGUUGGGACUUUGAAGGAUUUUGUGAGUGUAUUUUUGGUUUGAGGUCCAACGAGAGAUCGACACGUUUCAUGGUCUCUGAGAGAGUUCUCUCACGAUCAUCAUCAAUAUUAGUACAAAGGUGGAUGGAUGAAUGGAUCAGACUUCAGAGAGAGAGAGAGAGAGAGAGAGGUGAGAGACUCGCUUACGAGGUUGUAGUUGUUUUUUGUUUCCAACAUACUGCAGAGACUUCUCCAACCCUCUUGGAUCCCUGUGCAAGAUCUAGGGUUUCUCUUCCUUUUGUUCUUGUUCUUCCCUUUUCUGUAAUAUCCCUUUAAUGCUUCACCAGAUAUUUCUGCAGUAACACUAAAAAGAAUGGUGCUUUUCUUAGUCCAUUGGACUCGAGCACGCCUUCACUCACUUUUCAUCCUUAGAUCUUGUGGUUCCAUUACUAGACUUUGGGGUCCUUUUUUUGUACACACAUAUAUCUCUUCCAUCAUUGCUUUACCCAUUAUAACUUCAAGGAAAUGCCUAAUAUCUUCAUACAAGCCAUUGCACUGGAGUCCAUAUCAAAAAAAGGAUAAUUAAACAAGGGUUAAAAGCCCAAAAGGGUUUGCUUGGAGAGUUAUCAGUAAUGUUUGAUAAUGUUGCGUUAUUAGCCAAAGCCUGCAAGAAGAUAAGUUCAUUAUUUUGACGCAGUUUUUGCUUGUAAAAGGUGGGGGUUUUCUUUCUUACUUCGUUGCCUGUGUCUUGGCCUUACAUAUUCAGCUAUGAUGCCCUUUUUGUUGCAUAAUUUGGUGAAACUUUUGAGUGUGAAAUGUGGGUUUUGCUUAUUUUCUCAGUUGCAGCAGGGACCAUCUGGGCUCUCAUUCUUUGCCAUACAUGUUCUUUUGUGUAACUUUGCUUUGAGUUCUAUCUGGGGGAAUAGGGCUCUCUCAGUCAUGAUUGCUUUAGUUUAGACAUUUUAGUGAAACUUUUAUCUUUCUACUGGCAAUGCUGGGAUUCUUUGCUUAAAUGACUCAGAGUUGUGCUCCCAGUCAAGGUUUCCUUUUCUAUGCAACAAUUGUUUUCUUGUUUCUGCUUGUUAUGUUUUUAACCCUCAAAGUAUCUUUUCUGCAGUUAUUUAUUCCUCAGUCUAUCUAAUUAUCUCUACUCCCUUAACAAGAAAACCCGAAAAAGAAAAGAAAUCUCAAGAUCUACAACGCUUCAGAGUCUUUUAAUUAUUUGUUUUUGAAAGUCUAAAAAAUUAGAGAUUGAUCUUCCCUUUUCUUUCAGUUGGUGAAGUUUCCCAGAGAUACUUUGAAACAGUAUGUUCUUUGCUUCAGCAUUUAGGUGCGUUGAUUUAUACAGCGAAAAAAUAAUGAUAAAAAAUUGAAUACGAAGACCCAAAAAAAAAAAAAGAAAGUGUUUUGAAGUAUAUUAGAGGAGCUGUAACAGUAGAAUUCUGAGCUCGAACUUCUAAGCCUUUUCUACGUGGGGAAAGAUUGGAACUUUGAGAAGUAGAGGAUCUCAGGAUUUUCAGAAGGCGGAUCUGGUCUAAUCAGACCAAAGUUGCUCAGAAAAUGAAGGACAUCAUAGCCUUCUGUCUUGACAGCUCAAAUGAUGCUUGACUACAAAAAUUUCUUGUCCAUCUAUCUUCUUUGCAUCUGCUUCAAUAUUUGACGAAUUUGGAAGUAAUUCUUCUUUUUCUUACUUAAAUUCUCUUUUUUUUUGUGUUUUUUGUGCAAUUUCUUUUCUUUCUCAUCCAUCUUAUGCAUCAUUUAACCUAGAUUUAUCAUUUUUUUUAAAUGAUCAAUAAUGGUUCCUCGCUUGCUCUCAAACUAUGUUCAUAGUUUUAUGCAAUUAAAAUGUAUUGAUUUUGAGUCUUCUCUUUACCUUUUAUUUUCUUGGGAAUGCCCUAAUCAAUUGGCAGGCAGGAGUGCACCUUUAAUUGCUGCAUAAAUAAUGGUAUUAGUAAGUUGACAGAUUUAAUUAUCUAUGAAAUUGGCAUGCCUGUCAAAUAUUGCUAUGACUUCAUAAUUACUAGAUUUAAUUACUAGUAUUUUACUUGCUAUCUAUCUUUCUUCCUUUUUUCUUGGCUCAUGUCCUCCAGAACAUCUUGGACAACAGGAUCUAAUUCGUUUUGCUAAAACAAGAUCCAUGUUGUGUAAACAUUCAUAUGGUAAAAUUUGUCACUAGAUGUAAACAAAAUUCUUCAAUGUUAUUAUCGUGGAAUAUCUUCACAUAUGUGUUUAAAUUUUUUUUUUUUUUUUUUUGGGUAUAGGUUUUGUCAAAAUUUGCUUCUUGUCGUGCACCUACAAGAAGGAAUAACUUUGCCUAUUUAAGUACAAGAAAAAUGAAAAAUCUAGUGUUUUUAUGCACAUAUUAUAUAGACAAGCCUACAUGAAAGUUGCAAGGUGAUUACUUUAAUUGCAAUACUAACUGGAAGUAGCUCUAGAAACAAUUUGAUUGAGGCCUAUAAUAUUAGCAUUCUUUUAUCUGAGAAUGAAGCGCUCAUGUAGUUGUCCUCCGUGCAUAAUAAAAAUUGAGAGCUUUAGGUUUGGAGUUGUGCAUAAGGUGAAAAGAUCUGAAAGAAAGAGAAGGGAGAAUUAUACAAAGAUUCAUCCAAAUACAUUUACCUUCUGAUGACGGCAUAUUGAUAUGAAUACAAACUAGAUUUUUUUUUUUUAAAAGCUAAUUUGCUAAAGUCAAUAGCCUAUAUAUGUAGCUUAAAUUUGCAUUAGGGUUGACAAUACCUGUUGUUUGUUCUAUGGGUUGAGCAGCUUAUAGAAAACUAAACUUGCAAGAACAAUAUUUGAAUUUCUGUGGUCUCUGACUGACUUAGCAUCUUAAUACAAGGACCUUUAGCAGAAGUUUUGCUUCUCUUUUUGUUCUUUAGCUUCAUCAAGUCUUGGCCUUGCUCCAAAUUUUGUAUCUGCUUUCAUGUGUUAUAGUCACUGGUAAUGAAAAUUAGUUUUUAAACAAGCUCCUAAAGUUUAUGCUCUACAGAUAAAGGGCUGAAGUGAAAAUGAGUUAACUCUUCUUAUGUAUGCUGGUGAUCUCUCUCGAUGUGUUUCUUUUUUCUUUCUAAUUUUCUAUAAAUCCCUCAAAGAUUUAAAAAGUAAGAUCAAUUUGCUAUAUAUUGUUUCUUUUCAUAGUUUAGGGUAGAGAUAGCAGCUGGUAUUUGGUGUCCUGUGAGUUGCCAUGCACAGAUAGACAUGACAUAACAAAUUAUGAACCACCUUAUUUCCUCUUUAAAUUUGCAGGAUAACUAAAACCCUUGAGCGAUAUCAACGUUGCAGCUUGAGUCCUCAGGAGAAUGCUGCUGAAAGAGAAACACAGGUUUUUUUUUUUUAUAACUAUGCAGACAUUCAACAUUGCAUCAGAUUCAGAGAAACACAGGUUUAUCUGUUAAGUUAUAGUAGCGACCACAUUAAUUAUCAUGAAAUAUGAUCCAGCAACACGUUACUCCAUGUGAAUCAUUAAUUGGACGCUCCAUGCCUUACUGUUUAUCCAAAAUAGAGCGUUUUUGUGGUCCUAGAGUACUCUUUUUCUUGCAAAUCUAGUAACUUUUUCCUUGUUUUGACAGAGCUGGUACCAAGAGGUCUCAAAACUGAAGGCCAAGUACGAAUCACUACAACGCGCUCAAAGGUUAUGCGUUUCUCCUUGUAUAAUUAAGCUCAUUAGUCCUUUUCCUUUAUUGCAGCCCUUGCUUCAAUUUCUUGGUAAUUACCUGAAGUGACAUAUAUAUUGACCUUUUUGUGAAUUCAGUGCACUGCUAUAACACUUGGUUUUACUAUCGACAGUUUGACUGAAUUUAUAUAAAACCUCUAUUUAUAUGGCAACUUCUAAAAUCAUAUUGUUAAUGCUUGAAGGCACCUACUUGGAGAAGAUCUUGGUCCAUUGAAUGUGAAAGAGUUGCAGAAUCUUGAAAAGCAGCUUGAGGGAGCUCUUCUCCAGGCUAGGCAAAGGAAGGUACUACUUACAAAGUGUUUGGAAUUACAGUUGCAAACCAUAAAGAAUUGAUCACAAAGAUGUGAUCACAAAGAAUUUCAAGCAGCCGAUUGACUCGCUGAUUUUAACUUUAUAACAUAGAUAAUAAUCCAAUUCUAUUUUUUUUUUUUUCAAAUUGCUUCAAGAAAAAGAACAUCAUUUAUAAUUGACUUGAAUGUUUGGAAGCUGAAACAACAAUUGUAAAGUCAAAAAGAUCAACAACAUAUAGUCGAUAUUUUUCCAUCUUUUUGAUGAAACAGGUCUUGUUUUUGUCAUCGUAUAGGACAUUUGCUGAAUACAUACAAAGUUGAUAUACAUGAAAUUAUUUUGUAAAUGUCCAAGAAGCUUCUACUCUUUCUAUAGAUACGUUCCUCUAAAUUUUACUUGAAUGUCGUCAUUCUCUCUAUAUAUAUAUAUAAACAGUAAGCUAUUUGGUGACUUGUCAUACUUCCUGCCAAUGAGAUUCUCACUGAUGCCAUUUCCCUCUUGUCCCCUCUAUAUAUAUAUGUAUAUAUUGCAGACUCAGCUAAUGAUUGAACAAAUGGAAGAGCUCCGAAGAAAGGUGAAAAUUAAAUUUUCUUGCUAAAUUAUUCUGAUUAUACCCUUUUUCUCUUUGAUACUUAAUCACUAGAAGUCUCUGAAGUUUCAAAUGUUUUCUUGGUCAAAAAAUGAUUUCCGACGUCGUUCCCUUAACCUAGCUAAAGGAAUGUACCGAAACUAAAAGGAAUCCACUCUUGAUACGUACAUGUUAACGGAGUUGACGCCUGAGCCUCCAUAUCAGCUAGAGCGACCCUAUUCUGCAUGCUGUCAAAAAAAAAAAACUGGAGAAAGUUCAAGUCUUUAAUUAGGUCAUAAACAUUUAAGAAUGUCACUUACAGGUUUUGCUAAUUGCUGUAAAACGGCCUAGUGAACAUGCAAGAUUUAGAAGCAUUUGCGAGGUCAAUUGAGUUUUUAUUGCAUGAACAUGUCCAAAUGGUUAUAAGUUGAAGUUGAGUGUCAUGAUAGGAAGCCAUGGAUGUGGCUUCUUUCAUUUCCUGCUCAUAUAUAUAUACUGGAAUUAUGCAAAAGUGUACCAUUUUAUGUGGUGGCAGGAGCGGCAGCUUGGGGACUUGAAUAAGCAGCUUAAGAUUAAGGUUUCCCUGGAAAUGUCAUCGGUAAUGAUUCGAUUCGAUUCGAUUCGUUCAUUAUGUGCACGUAAUAGGAUCCGUUAGCAGUCGGUCUGUGUUAUAUUACAUAGAAUUCAACAUUUUUCUUUCAUAUUUUGCAGCUUGAAGCAGCUGAGGGACAAGGCUUAAUAAGAGGCCUCCCUUGGCUUUGGAGUUCGAGUGUACCAAGUGGAAGCAGCAUGUUUCCUAUGCACACUUCUCACCCCAGUGCCGCCAUGGAUUGCGAUCCUGAGCCUGUCCUACAGAUAGGGUUCGUGCCCUUAAUUACGACAAUUUUCUCCUAUGUUGAAGUUUAGAACGGGAGGCAAUUCCUCAAAGCUCCUCAGUUCUUGAAAAGAAAAACAUCUGCAGAAUCAAAUCACUAAUUUUUUUCAGUUUUCUCUUGACCAACCAACAGGUAUCAUCAGUAUGCUCCGGCAGAAGGUCCUUCUGCCCCGAGGAGCAUGGCCAUUGAGAGUAACAUCAUCCAGGGGUGGGCUCUUUGAUAUCUCUUUGCAAAUCUUUUAUACGUUUGAUGCAAAAAACCAAUUCAAUGAUUUGUGCUUUUGGAUUUGAACAUGUUAAUCCCAUAUGAAACUAAGUACUUUAUAACUAGCUGCUUAAUUUUGUAUUUACAGAACUUGAAACUUACGCAUUUUGAUCUUUAUUGCAAGGAUUAUAAUCGCAUGAUGUAGACUGUUUGAAUCUUAACCUACCAUCUUUUUGGCCCUUGUAGAUAAAAUUUGCGUAUUUAGACUUCAAAAUUAUUGUCAUAGCAUUCUGCGAGUACGAAACCGUUUUUGCUCUCGAACAUUAGGACAGAAGAAAAGAAAAGGAAAAAAAAAAUCAAUAACUCAAUUUGGUACCCCUCAAUUAUUCAACUAUUCUCUCUUUGUACUCUAAAAAUUGUUAGUAUCUUAAGACAUUUUGUAUAUUCAAUUUGGAACCCCCACAUUGUACUGCUCGUUUUUAUUUUGACUACUUUUGAACCAAUUUUUACGAGUCAUUAAGUGUUGACCAGGAAAAGUUCAUAGGAUUUUCCUCAACUUUUUUUUAUUGGCAAUAAUAGAAGUGAAAAAUUCCUCGACACAACAAGGACUAACAAGCGCUGAAAGCCCAACUCUAUUAUAUGUAGGUUGAGCCCACUUCAUUGUGUUGAAAGGAUGGAACCAAGUAAGAGGGUUUAUAAGUCUCCUGCAGGAACCAUAAAAGUUGCCGGCUUUUGUGAUUUUCUGUUGGGUUAAGGUUUGUAAAGUUAUCAAAAGUCAUUUCUUGGCUUUGACAAAAAAGACAUCAGCCUUUCCGGGGUAAUUGAGAUCUCUUUAGGUUUUAGCAGUAGGUUCCCUGCAUAGGUUGAUAUCCCGCAUCGGGGUUGGGGGGAUUUGGGGUAGGUUUAUAAGUCUCCUGCAGGAACCAUAAAAGUUGCCGGCUUUUGUGGUUUCCUGCUGGGUUAAGGUUUGUAAAGUUAUCAAAAGUCAUUUCUUGACUUUGACAAAAAAGUAAGAGGGCUAUUUUUCUUCUUUUUUUUGUUUUUUGCCAGUUCCGGUAAUGAUUUUUGGUUAAAUUUGUCGUAAGACCGAAUUGAGUUGGCAGGGCCAUUAAUCAAAAUUAUUCAUUAAUUCUGACGUCAUUAGGUGCAUUCUCAAUUUCUCUUUUUCCUCCUUUUUUUUUUUUAACAAAUCCUACCAUCUAUCUCCUUUGCAUCGAAAAAGGAAAACGACUAGAUUUCCUGUAAUAUUUAUCUUAAUGUCACGUUAUCUUAAACAUUAGAAAUUUUGCAGAACGUUCUGCGUAAGUUCUAAAAUUCUGUGCCAGUGACUAGGGGACUAGGCUUUCCUCUCCAUUACACUCUAAUAAAUGUUAAAUUUGAAAAUUAGUUUCAAAAACCAAUAGCGUUCAUAACCUAUUUCAUCACUUGUGCUAGUCAUACAUCAAAUUUUGUAUUAAACUGACUAAGUUUUAUGGUUUAAUUAAUCAUUACAAAAUUUGUUACAAUUUUGACUCAUUUUUCACCGUUUAAACGUUUCGUGCAAAUAAAAUGUCAAAAGAUUAUCAUUUUUUAUACGUUGAUCUAGAGAUCAAAGUGAUCAUAAUAAUGACGACAUGAUCGGAUGAUUUUCUAAAAUUAUAAUGAUUUACAUAUAAAUAAGUGGUUAGAUCAAUGGAGAGGAUUAAUAUUUCAACCCGUGACUGAGCCUGAUAGCAGAAAAAUAAUUACGUAACACUAAGGAAAUACAUUUCUAAGCUUCUCUGAAAGGAGGAAAAAAUAUUUUGUAUUGGAACGAAUUUCUGGGGUUAUAACAUGUACUUGAUUAAGAAUUCCAUCGCUAUUAACGUGGGCCAAUUCGAUUAGUAUUUGAUAGUCCCUAUUUUAUUUUUAUUUGUGUAUGUGCAAACUCAAUCAUGUUUAUACUUGAACUGCAAACUGACUGGUUUGGAACGUUUUAAUCACUAGCUAUUCCCUUACUUUUGUUUGAUCAGAAAUAUAUGAGUCUCUACGGAGCAAUUUCCAAAUUCUAGUCGAAGAAAACGAUCUUGUUCUCAAUGUUGCAAGUGAAAGGAGUACAACAAAAAACGGGAUAAUCUUUAAAUCAAAAUCAGCAGAUAAAAGCGCCCAAGAAACCAAAUGAUAUGGUAGGGAAAAAAAAAGAAGAAGCAAAAACAGUGCCAGGAGAACCCCAAGAUUCCCGACAUAGUAGGCUACUAUCUGAAACCAGUCAACCUAGCACCCCAAUUAAUAUGACGAAUUCUGCGCCAUUUUCUCAUUUUAAUCUCAUUUUUUUGGUAAAUUUUUUUGUUACAUUGAAUGUAAGCAUCAUAUCCAGUUUCUGUAUUUUCCCUCUUCUUUUGCUGCUGCUGUUGCCAUAAUGGAUCGAUCUAACAAGGAGAUCAAACCGGGAUGUUGUUUCCCGGUGCGCCUGGAUCGGUCCAUGAGGCGCAGCUUCAAAUUUUCCAGGAGCUCUUCCUCUGAUAAAUUGAUUAAAGGUGGGUACUACUGAUAAUUCCCUCUUCAUUUCUUUGCACGCCUAUCAUAAUUUCGCGAGACAGUUAUUAAAUUUUGCGAUGCAUAAGUGAAAUAUGGUGUGACAAAAUGUACAAGAUUCUGGUGACAUGCAAAGGGUAAAAGUUGAGGCUUGUCAAGAAUGAUAUUAAUUAAUCUCUUCAUUAAAAUGUGAAUAUGUUGUGGUUUUAAUUUUAUCAGGUUCACCAAAGACUGGUGAUACACCAAAAUCGUGCUCAGGGGCACCAGUCAAGUCGCCCGGGCUGGUGGCAUGCUUUGGGGAACUGUUGAUUGAUUUUGUGCCAACAGUUUCUGGAGUCUCACUGGCUGAAGCACCAGGUUUCAAGAAAGCUCCAGGUGGGGCUCCUGCUAAUGUUGCUGUGGGAAUUGCAAGGCUUGGAGGCUCCUCUGCUUUCAUUGGCAAGGUUCCACAAGCAGCUCCAAUACUUUUAUCACUAAAAGUUCUUGAAAUUUUACUUUAUUGCCAACUGGCUCCUCAUGUGUUAGCUUUUUUUUUUUUCCUAGUAUUGUUUGCUUUUUUGCUUAGAUGCAUUAGAAUUGCUAUGGGUGACAGUGUGAGGCAUUCAAAUAUCUUCUAAUAGGAAUUCGAUUUUCCUAAAGAUCCUGGCUUUCGUACUUUGGUGGGGUCUAAAUCUUUUCCAUGACCUAUAUUAUGUUGAAAGCAUAUCUAUCUAAUCCGAUGAUCGGCCUGCGGUAGCAAUGGAACCGGGGAAAUUUCAUUUGAGGGAUUGCAAAGCAAUAGCUUGAAUGUUUAAGGGGGCUUCAUUGACGCACUGUUAUACCUCAGAGGGUUAAUAAGGAAAUCUCAGUAUUAGAAGAAGGCUGUAUUGUUGCAUUUUCAUGGUUUAAAGGUCUUAAUUGAAAAUAAUCCAUCUCGUUAUUUAAACAUCUUGUAUGUUUGCAGAAUUGUCAUUAUCUUUCCUUGUCAGAUAGGAAUUUUACAAACUAAUAAGCAAAAUGACAUGGGGUCAAGUCAAUAGAUCAAUCAAAUCUCCAUCAAACUGUUGAGUCCUUAGAUCAUUGCCUCGUUACUUUAGCAUCAGCAAGAAUAUCUGCUGCAAAUUUCUCCAGAAAGUUCGACUGUCAUGAACUGUUUAACAGCUCUGAGGUAUUGGACCUGUGGUGGUAACAAAUUAACAAUACAUGUUCAGGUGGGGCAAGACGAAUUUGGUUAUAUGCUGUCUAAUAUUCUGAAGGAGAAUAAUGUGGACAACUCUGGCAUGAGAUUCGACUCACACGCAAGAACUGCGUUGGCCUUUGUCACCUUAAGGGCUGAUGGCGAGCGGGAAUUCAUGUUCUUCCGCAAUCCAAGCGCUGACAUGCUUCUCACUGAAGCAGAACUCGACAAAGAUCUCAUCAGAAAGGUAACAUAUAAAUCAGGCUGGCUGCUUAAUUAUCUAGAAAUCAGAACAGGGCUAUUUCUGAACUAAUUGUUUCUUUCCAUUCGGAGCCUGAGAAUAAUCCUAACUGUUUUCAAAUCGUUAAAGAAAUUCAAGUCUGAUGUGCUCAUCUGGGCAACUACAUCUAAAGAUUUUCAGUUCCGCAAGUGAUCAUAGCUGGUGGAUACUCAAUUACGUUGGAUACACUUUUUUGUUUUUGUGGCAUCAUAGAUACGUUUUCCCAUCACCUUUUUAUAUUUUUAGUCAUUUUUUUAUCUUACAUACGUCACGUCAUAAAAAGUGUUACUGAAUUAUUCUGAAUUUUUUUUCGAAAUAAUCUUCAAUCCAAACACACUGAUACACUUUUGUUCUUUGCAGUCCUGCAUUUUUCACUACGGCUCGAUCAGUUUGAUUGAGGAACCAUGUAGAUCAACUCAUCUUGCAGCUUUGAAAGUAGCCAAAGAGGCAGGUUGCAUUCUCUCUUAUGACCCAAAUCUUAGGUUGCCCCUAUGGCCAUCAGCUGAGGCUGCUAGACAAGGCAUCAUGAGCAUAUGGGAUCAAGCUGAUGUUAUUAAGGUACUCCUAUCCCAUGUCUACCAAGAUUUUAGACUCAAGAAAUACACUAUUAAUUAUUUUAAGUACUACUAGUCAUGCUCAUUAUAUAUGGAGGAAUGCUAAUUUGAUUUCUGCAUCCAUUUUGGCGUCGCGAGUGAAUUUCAGAUAAGUGAGGAAGAAAUCACAUUCUUGACUGGAGGAGAUGAUGCUUACGAUGACAAUGUGGUGUUUAAAAAGCUUUACCAUCCAAAUCUUAAGCUUUUGCUUGUUACUGAAGGGCCAGAAGGCUGCCGAUACUACACCAAGGUUGGCCUUAGAUUAACCUCGGAUAUCUUGGUGAAAUGAAAAUAUGCAUAUAAAUCAUGUGCAAAAGAUUAUUCAAAAUCUUUAUGCAGGAAUUUCAUGGAAGAGUUCAUGGUGUAAAAGUCCAGGCAGUUGACACAACUGGUGCAGGGGAUGCUUUUGUUGGCGGAUUGUUGAACAGUUUGGCUACAGACCCUGAUUUGUACAAGGUAAAUAAAGCAGUAUUUUCUACAACCUCACUUGAUAAAUCAGGCUAGAAGAAGAAAAUCUGGACAAUGAUUUGGACAAAAUUUGGACAAAUAUCAGAUUUUUAUCAAGUAACAUAGGAUCAAAAGCGUGGUUGCCUAUCCAGAAAAGUAAAUAUAUAAAGAAAACAGAAAAAUAUAUAUGAUCAAAUAACAUAUAUAAAGAAUCGAAACCAAUUAUAUCAAAUUGUUUGCAAAAGCUGUACCUAUCAAGCGAUCCAAUAGAAAAAAUAAGUUGGCUGGCCAUGAAAAAGUGAUUGUGAAACAUACAGUUUCCCUUUUCAACUAUAUAUGCCUCGAAGGAGUACCAAUUGAUGAUUCUCAUCAAGACGUGUGGACAUAGGCCGAAUGGUGGUCAGGAAAAUCGUUCGGGCCGAUUUUAUGCAAAAUGCACAAAAUAUAACUUUGUAUGCACACGGUAUAAUUCACUUUCAAUAACAUGUAACUAUACAAUAAAAUUUUAUGAAUCCAACACACAGUGUGAAAAACGAUGUACAAGAUGCAGUCUGAACCUUACACAUAGUUAUAAAAAAUAUAGACCAUUAAGUGUUAUCAAAUCUUUGGUUUUGAUUUUUUCUCUAUUUUUGCAAUAAUGUAAUUUAGAUUUAUUUGGAGCAAUAACUAAUUAAGAGGGAAAUCUCACAUAUGAACCUCGUCAAAAUGGCCAAAUUGUUUCACUGAACAGAACCCUUCUUCUUCUUCUUUUUUAAGAAUGUUCAAAUUGUAAUGUACCCCAUGGUGCAUAGACACUAGUUCUUAAUUUUUGUUUUUUCCUUUCUGGCUGCAGGAUGAGAAGAAAUUACAAGAGGCCCUUUUGUUUGCCAACGGCUGUGGUGCAAUUACUGUGACUGAGAAAGGAGCAAUCCCAGCGCUCCCAACUAAAGAAGCAGUCUUCAAGAUUUUGGCUGCUGCUACUGCCUGAUGGAAACCCCUCAGUUCCAAGUUCUACUUCCAUAUUCUAAUGCAGCAGCCACAUCUCACAAAAUUUAGGCUUUUUUUUUUAUGUCAAAAUUUUGUCCGUCUUUCCUUCUUAUGAACCAAAUUGCUGCAUGAUUUGAGGUCCCCAUUUUGGUAUGUAAUGAAGCAAACUACUUGAAUCCAUUUUUUAACUUUUGGUAUGAAAUGAAGCCAAUAGUAGACUUGCAUUUUCUGCUGCAUUAUUUUAUGCUUCAUUUUGGAAGAUCUUGCAUUUUACAAAGGUGCUCUAAGUUUGACACUUAUCUUAAUGUAGCUAAUUACCUCUUUGCAAAGGUCCCGCUAAAAAGACUAAAACCAAUACUCCACUCUCUCUCUCUCUUGGAAAUGCACUCUUUUAAAUUUUUUUCCUUUUUUGGUUUAACUUUUUUAAGGAUAAAGAUCGGAUAUAUAGGCUAGUAGAGAAGAAGGGACAAAAAAUAAAAAAUAAAAAAAAGACCACUUGAAAUCUAUUAUUUUUCUUUUUAGAUAGAUGAUUUUUGUGAUAUAAUGUAUGUAAAAUAAAAAGAUGGUUGAAAAGAUUAAAAAAAAAGUGAUUGGCAAAUGUGUUUAUGGUACAACUAAACUAUAUAUAUAUUUUUUUUGUAAAUAAUCAUGUGUCCAAACAAACCUUUUUUUGGGUAAAUUACUUAUUACCCCCUUGUGAUUUUACUUAAUGUUAGAUGACUUCCCUAAGGUUGUAAAAUAGCCAUAUAACUGUCCUGUAGUUUUAUGUAAAGUGAAAAAUAGAGAGAAUGCACAAUCAGUUAUGAUGUUUAUACUAAACGCGCUUUAAAAGCAUGUGUGAUAAAAUUUUAAUAUCCACAUAAUUCCUUUAUGAUUUGUAUAAAUAUUCACUUUGUUCCCCAUGUGAUUUUUGUAUUUAUCCACGUAAUCUCUCUAUACUUUUAUACAACAUGAUUAAACCAUCAAUGAAUUUAGCAUUUAAGUAAGCACUAUUGGUAUUUCAACUAGCCACGUUACGUAGGUUAUUUUCCAUCAAAUUUUCGCUUUACACAAAAUCAUAAAGGAUAAAGUCGAUAUUUUGAAACGUUAAGGAGAUCAUGUGACAAUAAAUGAAACAACAAAAGGGUUACAUGUAACUUACCCUUUUUUUCUCUUUUUUUUUUUUUUAAAAAAAAAAUUUUUUUGGUUUAGCAGAACUCUAUACAGUAACACCUUAUUUUCUAACCAAAAGCCAAGCCAUGUCCCACAACAAAGUCAAAACACCUAAACGACCAAACUUGUAAAUGCCAUCAACCAUAUACAUCUCUACUUUUUACUUUGUUAGAUGCGUUUGAUAAUCAAAUUCAAUAUUUUAAUUUAAUAAAUUUAAAUCUUAAUAUGUUCAGACGCGUUUGAUAAGCAAAAAAAUCUGAAUUAAUUAAAUGACACUGAAUUUUCUAAAUAAAGUUUACUCCAAAAAAUAAGUAAUAAACUAUUUACUUAUCACUAAAUGUAAAAUACACUCAAAUGCAUUAAUACUUGACAAUUCAAUAACUUAAUAUUUCGGGUUUCGGGUUUAAUUUUUAAACUUCAGUUAUAUCAAACACACCCUUAAUCAGUUGACUUCGCGAAACAACCCUUUAAUUAAAACUUUUCUUCGUUGAAUGUACAUGGAUUCUUUAGUCAACCAGCUCUUAAGUUCACAAAGAAGAAAAGAGAAAAUUUUAAAGCCCAUUCAGUAGUGGCGAAAUAGAUAUAUUAAUACACCUCAGGGUAGACCCUGUGAAAGAUUUUCUUGAUCGUAUUCCAUUGGGAAUACGAUGCCAAAAUUAAUAAAGCUAACAACAAUAAUGCAAUCACAGGUUCGUUUAUCACUCUUGAGGCGUAAUAAUGCUCUCCGAUUCUUGCAUUCCACAGUCUAGCAGCUAUAGGCUAUUUUCAUAUUUGACAUUGAAACAAUCGUCAUAAUGAUACGCAGUCAGCUUGCUGCAGAUGAAGAGCCAAGCAGAGAAGAGUCUUCAUCUCGCUAGGUCAGUUCUUCAACACUAGCUUAUUUCUUCUCUCCGGUGGUCCAAUAAAUAGCCCAGUCUCCACAUCUGAAACUUCGCUACUCUCUGUACAAGGCACAAUCUCUGUGUUCUCUUUUGAUGUCUGUGGAGGCUCUGCUCCACACUAAUUAAAAAACACACACACGGGAAAGAAAAAAAAGAGAGAGAAAAAAAAAACAAAUGCGAAGAUCAGUUAUUUCAGUUUUAGCUGUAGGAAAAUUUCCUGAAACAUUACAAGAGACUGGAGUCCCAGCUGUUUGGUUGAUUUGUAUACAGAAAUUUACAGAAUAUAUCCUCAGAUCAGAAAAGAGAAACAUGUCCAGACCCAGCAAGAUAAGCCACGUACUAAAAGAAAUAAGAAGAAAAGGAACUAACCUUCUCCAAUAACUUGUCAUUUUCAGCUUCUAGGACUUUUUCCUGGAUGAUAAAGAUAGAACAAAGAAAGGCGUUACAGAUGCAAAAGUGAGUACACUACAUCCGCAGAUGUACGUAUAAAAAUCCAUAUAACAAGUGAACAUAUAGGUUGGCGUUGACUACAAAAUAGGAUCUGUCAUUUGUAUAUUUGUUGCCAGUAACCCCAGAAUUUGAAAAACUGAAUAGAUGCUUUGCCCAGGGUUGUUUUUGGUUUUGGCAUUUCUUCUUCUUUUCCAGAAGCUUUUAAGCCAUUUUCCCAGCACCAUUGUUUUGCUCUUUAGCCAACAACGAUUGAAGGAAAAUAAAGUUGUAAAUGAUCCAAGGAAUUGUUUUGCAUCUACUCGUAGCACUUGAGAGACUGAAUUACGUUGUUUUAAACAUUGAGUACCAGAGAUGAGAUUCAAUGAAACCUUUAGGGACCAUUUCAAUAAUUAUAUUAUUCUUCUGUCAAAAACCCAAAUGUAGAAUGGAAAUCUCAAAUAGAAAAAACUUCAGCCAUGUCUACCUUUUCUUUUAAUUUUUCAAUUUGUUCCUGGAACACUUGCAUCUGAAUGUGCACAAGAAUUAAAAAUGUCAGAUUCUGUAUAUCAUAUUUUCUCAAGAGCAGUCUCAAGUAUCUUGUUUUAAUAAGAAAGACCUUUCUUGCUCGAAUGCAGUUCACACUUCGUUCUAAUUGGCGCUCCAACUGCUGCAGUUCCUCAACCGUGCACGAAACUAAGCCUUCCCCCAAAAGUUUCCUACAGCAUUUUAACGUUCAUUGGUAAAGGCCAACUUUCUAUAAACCAAGUGAAUGACUAAGCAAGAGUUCCCACGAUAAUUUCAGAUUAGGCUAAUAAAACCUUUUGGAAGCUUCAAGGAGCUCUAUCUUCUUCACCAUGCUUGCAGUUUCCUGUUUCAGUUGCUUCAAUAUAAAAGAAAAGGUACAAUCAACAAGUUUGUUCUCAAGGUGUGAAUCAAAGUUGCAUUGACAUACAGCUGCUUCAUGCAUGCUAAAUCUCGAUUCAACUGAAAGUACGAGGAGAAACAGACCUGCAUAUUCUGUUCUGCUGAGGGGUUGUUAGCUCGAACAUCUUUUGCAUGCUUCUGAUAGCGUUCUAUUAUCUCCUUCAUGCUAAAAAUUGUGCAUAUUCCAGCGUAAAUGCAAUUAGUACUUAUCCUUUACCCCCAUUAAUGCAUACGAAAUGAAGGGACACGGUUAUCAGAUUUCACGUUCUCUGAAAGCGCAGAUUAAGGCAUUAAGUUGUUCUAUCAUGUCAAGAAGAGUAGAUCAUCAAGCAUAAAAACCUGAAGUCACAAUACCACUCUCUAGAGGAGAGGGACACAAAAAGGACGAAAUCAACAACCGGGUUGUAGCCAAAGCUCCUUUGUGAUUGGUGAACCCUGACUCUCGGUCUCUAUCAUUGCACUAUAGUAUGCUAUGUUUGUAUUCAUUUAGCUUGCUAUUAGCAUACUUUAUAGCUUAUAGUAACAAUCCAAAAUUAGUUUUUUGAUGAUUUUUCUACUCAGGGAACUAAAUGGGGAGAUUUAUUUUAUGCAGGAUGUACGUGCACUAUUAGCUACUUGAUUCCUUUUUAUAUUUUUUAUGGGGGAUGGGUUUGCUAGUUCAUAUAUGCAUUUUUGUAAACUAAGUUAUUCACAUUAACAUGGUAAACUACCUAGCAAGCACUUCAUAUGGCACAUUGCAUCAUUCUUCAAAAGGCAUCAGUUCAUAUUCUUUAAGUUUUUAACUCUGCCUGAUUUCUAAAUUUAUGUUUCCGGAAACCUCCACCAUUGCUUUCUUAAAUCACUACACUUUGUAUUUUCUCAAGCAGUGUGUCUACAUUUUUAACUACUUAUGUCUAUCUCCUUUUCUUGGUCAUUGUUCUCCCUUUCUUGGUGAUUGUUCUAGCUACAUAUCACUAAACUGCCGCCAAGUAUAUGUUACCAUGUGAUCUCUAAGCAUAUGUUACCGCUAGCUACAUGUGGUCUCUAGCUACAUGUGGCCAAUAACCUCUCUUGAUUUUUGCUAUUGCAAUAUUCCAUCCACUUGGACAGAUUUAUCUGUCGCUCAACUUAUUUUUCACUUGCGAAGAUAAUCCACGCUUCUGGAUAGACUUUUUUCAUCGCCCCAUUUGAUGUCAUUGACAAUUCACUUUGUGAUUUUCACAAUCACAAUUCAACUGACAGGAUAUCAUAACAUCCUGAAUCAAUCUGAUAAUUCUUGAACCAAUCUUAUGGUCCAAUCCUCACAAACUAGACACUCCAUGGCUAACCUUGUGGUCUAACUCGAUUAACUAAUUUCUUUGCAAUCUAACAGCAAAAAACAUCCACAAUUAACCCUCAUAAUCGAUUCAUCUUCAAUGUCUACAAGCACCCCAAAAUCAAUUUCUUGAACCUAAGGUUCUGAUACCAAAUAUAGAACCCCAAAAAAUAUAUAGGAGACAUUUGACAAAACCAAUAUGAGGGGAAGCAAUUCACACACAUAAAAAUAUGUGUGGGAGAAGAGGAAUAAUACCAGCAAUAUAUCUUUUAAUCACAUCAUAAGAACAAGACUCUCAUUCCUUCACUCUUUCCAACUAAACACAAUAAUAUGACUCCCUAUUUAUAAAUUAAAUGACUUGUUAAACAAGUCUUACAACUAUAAGAAAUUUUCUAAUAAAAUACUAAUUCUUAAACAAUGAAACUACCAUAACUUGACUCUAAUAGAAUUUACUAAAACGCUAACUUGACUAAAAUACUACUAAAUAAUAAUAUAAAAAUUUCUAAUUUUGAAUCUUGAUUUAAUAUACCAACAACCAUUUUAAGGAGAAAAGGAACUUAAACAUUGUAUUCUUUUGUCAAAGUUCAAAAUUUUCUGAGCUUCUUAUAUUUAAAUCUGCAAACUACCCCCUUUAGUGGCUUUUUUUUUUCCCUUUUUGGGAUUUUUUGUUUUGAAAGGUGUUUUUUUGUUGUUUUGGGAUGGGGGGUGUUGGGAGGGGAAUCCUCUUUCUCAAGUAAAUCCAAGAAUCUUCAAUUGGCCUAAAAUCUUGUGGACUUCAACAUUUGAACUAAUAAGAGUUGUCUAAAUUAUUUAAGCAUUUUGAAUUAUUAUGGAAACUAAGACUCAAAGUAAUCAACUUAUAACAUUUCUUUCUAUAUAUGAUCAGCGUCAUGAUAAAAUUUCAUCUUUCUUCUCUUGAAACUCAAUAUAUGAACUUAUUGCAUAACUCUCCUUAAAAUUUCAUCUUUUUGUACCAGCUAUCUAUUUAAGACCAGUUGACUCGUACCAACCAUUCUGAGGAUAGUAAAAUGUAACGACUCAAACAUAUUCAAUAGCUCUUACUUUGUAUACGCCAACAUACAGGUCAUUAGGGAUGGCAGUGGGUCGAAUGCCCUCGAAAGUUUCCUCUUACCAAACUCCAACCUGCAUAUUUAAAUCUUUUAUCAAACCCUAUCGAGUAAUCUUAUGGGUUUUAACUCCCAUUAUCAAACCCUUUCGCUUCGAGUUCAGAUUAAUUAUAUGGUACCCUCUACCCAACUGAAACAUAUUCAAUAUCUCUUACUUUGUAUCUGACAACAUACAUGUCAUUAGGGACGACAACGGAUCCGAUACCCUCAAAAAUUUCUCUUAUCAAAUCCUAAUGCGCAUAUUUAAAUCUUUUAUCAACCCCUAUCAAGUAAUCCUAGGGUUUUAACCCUCAUUACCAAAUCCUUUCAUUUCGAGUUCAGAGCAACUAUAUAGUACCCUCUACCUGCUAAUCUGAAUGGUUCAAAAAAAGGAAUUAACUUUAAAUCAAACUAAAAUUAAUGCAUAUCAUGUUAAAUCAACACUACAUUGAAUUUUAAACUUGGAUAGAGCCAUAGAGAAAUCAUCAUCUUAUGAAGGAUAAAUAUAACAAUCUUCUAAACGAAGAUUCAAACAUGUACAAGGAAUUGUACAUAAAACAUGACAGUUAACAAUCUACAAGACAAAUAUGUGUCCCAAAUAAAUACAAAAAACUAAAGAGAAGAAACAACUUCUACAGAGGUAUCAAUUAUUAUUAUUAUUAUUAUUAUUAUUAUAUAUCGGGUAUCAAAUAUAGAGUUUUUAGAAUUUUUUUUUUCAAUCUUAUCAGGUUACCCACAAUAAUUACUCGUCAAUACCAAACCCUAACGAAUUAUCGAUCGAUCUGAUUAACCAUCAGUCACAUUUUACCCUGUCCGCUGCCAUCCCUACAUCUCAUGUAAAUAGCUAGAAAUUUUAACACUUAUAAUCCUUUUAGAGAGCUAUUAAACUUCUGUUCUCCUAUUAAAAAGAAUUCUUGAUCCAACAAUGUGAUUAAUGUGUUAUGCACAUGGUCUGGUCAACAUUUAAGACUCAAAACCAUACUUGAGGCCACGGACUUGUAGGCAUGUCAGGUACUUUCUUACAAGUUUAAACUUGGGGCUAAUGCACAUAUAAUAGAGUCUGCGUGAGUAUAGAGUAAUAUCCACUUUUGUAGUUUGGAAUGCUUGUUGCUCAUUCCGUGAAGUUAAGACCUAAAGGGUUGACGUUUUUCUAUUUAUGGGACAAUUCUAACGUGUUGAAUUGAAUUCUUAAGUUUCUUGUUUGCAUGUCAGGCUAUCUGAUCUUUUUCAUAACUAGACAUGUCAUCAAAGAAGUUCAGUGAACAUUGAGAUCUUAGAUAAUACAUGUAUUUGGUGUAUGCCAAUUUGUAUUAUAUUGAAGUCAAUUCGCUUGUCCAUUAUUUCAACAAGUUUCAUCAGAUGCUGUUUGUGUGUUUUAAUGUCUAUUGGGAUCAAGUUGUAUUGCAUUUGUGAAAAAAAGGUUUUGUGGCAAUAAAUGUGAAUACAUACAAUUAUAUGGAAAAUUAAAUAUAUUUUAGAUGUAUUAGCGAGUUCUCAAUAGAAACCCAUCACAAAAUCUUUGCAAAAGCUAAGUUAGGAACUAUCAGAACAUCUAAUAUCUUAGAGUAAUAUUCUAGAGAAAUUUGCAAUCAGGGGUAAUCAACUAUUGGCAUGUCAAAAAGGCUUUAAUUUAAUGGAUAAAGUUGAGACCUAAUGAUUUAGAAAUUCUGGGUUCAAAUCCCCCCUUCCCCCUUCCCACUUCUUAGAUCUCGCCCCCCUCUGCAAGAAAAAAAGAAAAACUAUUGACGCAAUUAAAAAAACUUGAUUCAAUCAACUAAAUCUCUUUUUCACAUAUAUGCAUUUUCCACAUGAUGAUUUGUCUAAAGUUCCCUAAAGUUAUGCCUCUACAAGAUCACUUGAGUUUUUUUUUUUGCCUUCCUUUUUUAGGCAAUCACUUGACUUUUAUUAUCAUGGUUAUACUAGUGCGUGAGAUACGCACUAUGUGUGUGCAUAUUUUAGAAAAAAGAAAAUAAUAAAAAAGAUAUAGAAUAAAAAAUAAGUUGGAGAUUUUUGGGAGGUGAUGCAAUGUCCAUUAGUGGAUUAGUUAAUCAGUUAAUCCGGGAGUGUAGUGACACUUCUGUAAUGGUAGUCAUGUAGAAGUGGGAGAUUUUACAAAUAAGAUGUAAAUAGAUAAUAGUGAAUGAUGUGGAUAGAUAAUGAUAAAUGUUGAAAAGGUAUUUUUGGAAGGGUAAAUAUUAAACAUUUUUUGUUAACACCAAACGCUUAGUUACGCUUCAUAAUAUAGUAAGAUAAUUAAGUGAAGAAGGUAAUAAAGCAAAUACUUUUAUGAUAAUUUGAAAGUUCAGUCUACAAGGGUCUGAAUUACAUGCUGCUUGGUUACCAAAAGGAAAAUGACUUGAUUAAAAUAUGCUUUCUUGGAACCAGAACAUAUCUUACUCAAAUGAAAUAAUUAAUGGCACCUAAUAGAGAGUCAAGAAGCAUUUGGAAGGGAUUUUAAGUGGUUGGACAAAUAAAAUAUCAUGAUUCAAAGAUUAUAUCAAAAUCAACCAAAUACCGUAGUCAUGUGAUUGGAAAAGAAAUUAGACCUUCCAUAAAAGUACCAAAAAUCACAUAAAUAUUCAAUGAAGGCAAAUUCUCGUACUCAGAGAUAGAAUAUCUCGUUGUAAGUUUAAUCCACUUGAGUUAGAAUAUCACCAUGUUACAAAAAGGAUGACUCUAUGUGUAUGGUUUGUAAUUCGCCUCCUCAAUUCAAGAAUAAGUUAAAGAGAUUUUAGAACUAUAAGUAUGUAUAACAAUCUCACAUAAACACAGCAUAAACAUUUAAAUUCAAGAGCUAGAUUACAUCAUGACAUAGAAUACAUUUAUUCCUAAGGGCCUUCGAACUAAGCUUAAUUUAAUUCAAAAAAAAGAAGGAAGAAGAUUGAAUGAAAUCUCAUACAAAUUUACAAGUCCAUCGUAAAAACAAGUGAAAAAGAGUCGUUAGUCCUGUGCAUUUUAUAUAAUGAUCUCAAACACACACACAAGGGUGCUUUUGAAAGUACAAAAUUAAAAGCUGAGUUUUGCAUGCUUAUAAUAGGAUUUUUUUUCUUCAUUCGAGUCCAUAAGUUAAAGUAAGGGUUGUUUGUGCAUGGACAUUUACAAUGUCUUCUGUUCUUAAAUAGGAACUUGAAUUCCCCCAGGAACAAGGAAAAAAGAGAACUCGGGCUUACUCAUGCCUCAAACAUUAGUAGUGAUGACCUUCCUUUGUACGAAUCUUUCUUUGUACUUUAAACAUUUAAUGCUUUAUUGGACUCAUUCAAGUAUAAACGAGUUUAAUCAAAUCCAACAUUUUAGUAUUCAAACUUGUUUGAUUUAACGAGUUUGAAAUCUUGUUCAACUGUGGCUUAUUUAGUUGUUGAACCAAAUUUGAAUGAGUUUUUUAUCGACCUUAAAAGUUAUUGAACACAAAAGGUUGUUCAACUUAAACUUGGCUAGUUAGCGAAUCAAACUCAAACAAGCUUUUACCAAGCCAAACUCCAUUUGAAUAUCGAGUAGUUUGACUCAUCUUGCAACCCUAAAGUCACUAGAUCCAUGCAUUUAUUUCUCAAGAAGAUGCAAACCAAUUGAUUGUGCUUCAUAAAGUUAGGAUCAUUUUGGACAAAUAGUGUUUAUUUGAACCAAACAAUGGACAAAUAGUAUUUAGAUUUCUUGAAGAUACCAUUAGCUAGUAGCGUAGUAGUUGUAUUAACCUGGCUCCUUAAAUCGUAACAUAUGAUGCGUGCGAGGCAUGCUGCCUAAGAAUUUUUCAAACACUUAUUAAGACUGGCCCAAAUUGUUAUAAAGCCUUGGCUGUUAUUUCUUCUUUGACAAUUCCUUAGAAGCUUAGUACCAAGACUUGGCCAUCUUAUAAAUGACUGACAUGUUUGAGAUAAAAGAACCAUACUACAGAUGCACUUUUCCUUUCUUUUUUUUUUUUUUUGGCCUUUUGGUUGAAGUUGAUUAUUACGAUUUGAACGAAUUUUCAGUAGCAAAAGAUCCAGCCAUAUUUUUCGGGGAUUCUAGAUUUAUUCUACCAUAGCACCUUUGAUGCCACGACUGACUUCUCAUGAUGAGUCCUUCACUCAACAUUUUCCUCACCAUUUUACUAAUCUCCUAAUUCAGUUUAGCACCAAUAGCAGUAGAUGAUCUCAUCCAAUUUUCCUUCUAGAUGGGAGUCCUGUCACCCUAAUAUUUUAUGCAAAUAAAAUACAUGUAAUUUUGUGAGUCACUUUUACCACUUUACUGCUUGCAAAUUUUCAACCACUUAACAAGCACAAUAGUGUAUAUGACCACUCUUCUGCUCUUUUCACACACAAAGAAACAAUUAGUGCACAAUAGUGUGUAAAUGGGGGAAUCAAACCAUAAAGAUAAUGACACGUGCAUAAGCAUAGAAGAUUAGCAACACAUACAGCUUGAGAAUAGGGGGAACUAUAAAAGUUUAUUCAAGCAUUAGAAGCAAGGCAAUGGCUACAAAUACCCACUAAUCUUUGAAAAAGGAUGACACCAUCAACAAGAGCACAUCGGCAAUCUCAUUGGGUACUUUGAAAAAGCACGCCAUAAAGACAAGGGAAGAUCAAAGGAAGGGAUUCUUGUGAUUAAUUUGCAAGAUUUUAUUUCAUAAAAAGUACUAAACUAUCUCAAGGCACAUAAUAGAUUGAACUCCGCACAAAUAUUUUCUACACAAAAGAUUCCGUUGGGGUGGUGGUGAGGGUGCAGCUCAAGUUAUGGCCUGUUUCAAGCAGUACACCGAAUAUUGCAAAAACAACAAACAAGGACUAUUGCUACUUCCUUUGCCAACUGGCUUCAAGACUUGACCUUGAAAUUCUAGUCAACUUUACUCCACAAAGCUGCUAAUUGGUUGAUUGUCAAGGUCGGUUUCUUUCUUUUCAACAUCAUGUGUGUCUGGUUAAUUUUGCUUAGUGGGUUUCAAUCAUUAAAUUGCUUGCUCUAAUAGGAUUAUACAACCCUGAUUGCGAAAAGCUUUAAGCCCAGAUGUAUCCUCGUUCUAUAUAGUGCAUAGUUGUGCCUAAUGAUGCAAAGCCAUAAGCUCAGAUGUGUACUCGCAGCCAUAUUUUUCUGCAGCUAAAUCAUGACGCAAAGUUGAGAACUUUGUCAGCCAAGAUUCAACCUUGAAUUUUCUCUCUUCUGUUUCCUAUGUAAGCACGAUUAUAUACCGUAUCUGUUCUCCUGUACGGAAUGAUACGAGCAUAGCAUGAAAAUGAAGUUUCAUUUCAGCAAAUUUGGGAAAGAAAAAUAUAGAACAAACCACAGAAGGGCCGAGCCUGUACUCCUUUUGAGCUCUUGACAUUCAAGAAAAGAGAGACCCUCAAGAGAUAGGUGCAAAGGAAAGCUAAAUCUAUUUGUGAUGUGACAAUUUGCAAAGGAAAAGUGCCAGGAAGUUAUCUCGGAUGAAUUGAAAAAGGAAAAGUUUGGGUAAUUAAGCAAGAUGAGAUCCGAAGAAACCUGAGGAAUAAAACAAAUGGAGAGCCCUACUGAGAAAAUACUCAUAUUCAUGUCACAAAGUUAACAUAUUGCAUGAAUUGGGACAAAUGUAAAGACGGGUAUCAAACAAGCACAAAAAACCAAAAUGACCCUUUCUUGAAAAUGAGGAGAAUAAAAUUUAAUUCAGGAGAAGAGCAAUUUGCGCUAGCUACAGUAGUAAGAUAAAAAAAAAAAAAAAAAAGAGGAGGUAAUUACCUUGAACUACCAAAUUCAUAGAGCUUGCCUCUGGGAGAGAAGAUGAUGAGUGCAACUUCAGCAUCACAAAGAACUGAAAGCUCGAAAGCCUUUUUCAGCAGGCCAUUUCUCCUCUUGGAGAAGGUCACUUGCCUGCUUGUGGCGUUUUCUAUACGCCUCAUCUGAGUCUUCCCUCUCACCAUCUUUACACCUUGUGAAUAAACAGAACCAAGAGAUUAUCAGAUCAAGAAACAAGAAGAACAAAGCAUGAAGAAGAUAAGUGGUAAUAGUAGUAUUAAUGUAUUUUUUGGACGAUAGAAAACGAUGAAACAAAAGGAUAUUAUGUAUGGAAUAAAGUUUCCAAGAAAGGCCGAGAAGUUGUAGGAGAAUCAAAGCAAGAGAUUAUAGGCAGUGAGAAUCACAGAGAGCUUACAAAAUUGGCAAAAACCCAGAGAACCUUUUGGCUGUAGGCAAAGAGGAGAUAUGCCUACAAAAGGGAAGAAACCAAACUCCUCAAGUCUCACCUGUACCUGUUUUUCUUUGCCUACUCCUUUUUCUUCUUUUAGAAGGAAAAUUGUAGCAUGUGAGAGAGAAGAAUGAGGAGAGAGCCAAAAAUCCAGAAAAACUAGAUAACGAGAAAAGCUUAAGAGGGUAGGUGUUAUUGAUUGAUUGAUUCUCAGUGCCUUUUUUUGGUAAAUUCCAUCAUAGAAAGGGUAACAGUUGUGAAGACUGAAACUCUCUCACUAGCUAGUUUCCCUCCUCGUUCAUGUACCCUCUCCUCCUUUCUCUUAUCCAAUUAUUAUAUUCUUCCAACCCCACCUUUGAAAAAGAAAGAAAUCAUUAAUAUUAUAAGAGAUUUUUUUAACGGGGGGUCAAUUCAACAAUUUUAAUAUAUUUAAAUUUCACAUAAUUUAUGAUAUAUAUAUAUAGACACGCAUAUGUAUAAAUAUUAAUAAUUAUUAUUUUUUUAAUUUAUCCUCUUCUUCUAAUUAAUCUUAUAUUUUUAAAAAUCUAACACCUCAAUUAGCGAAUUAGAUAAAUCGAUUGGACACUCGGAAGCUUGUUAGUGUUGUUAUAAUUGUGCUUCUAUAUGCUUAUAUUAAGCAUAUCUCUUUAUCUUUGGAAGAAAACCUCAUCCUUUGCUUGUUUUAGUAACAUCCGCCUCAAACCCCCAAGUUGGUAAAAUGCCCUCUUAAAAAGGCAAAGGAACUUAUAAUAACAAAAGUUCUUUUGCCCUUUUUUUUUUUUGUUUAACUAAAAGCCUAAAUGAACAAAAAUACUAAUACACUAGCUAGUAAAUGAAGAUCAAAAGUGAAAGAGAGAGAAAAAGUAGAAGUAUUACGUUAGUAUGCAUGAUAUAUAAUAGUACGGGUGUGUGGUGCACGUCUUCAUUAGCCGUAGAGUAAACUUAGGAGUAGGAGUAGGUUAGACUAGAGGUUAAAAAAAAAAAAAAAAAAUAUAUAUAAUAGUACGCAUGGUAUAGCCAGGAUGAAGUGGGGGCAGUAGUACUAAAUUGUGGUGUCCGUACAAUGUUAGCAAGAUGUCGAGGUCCAUAGGACAAGUACGUAGUCCAAACAACCAAUGAAAAUUCGAAAGCGCAUGAGGCUGUGAUAAUUUUUAAGCAAACUUGUCAUGGCAAGAAGUCAGCAACUAAGAAACAGACCUCACGGGUCACUUCACAUGGGGGACCUCUGUGGUCCUCCUGUCACCUGCCUUUGUUGCUGUUUUAGCCUUCCCUUGUACAUGGACAGACUAUUGCUACCACUCCUAGUCUACUGGUGCUAGAGCUUCUUUUUUUUUUUUUUUUUUUUUUUUUUGGGGGUGGUGGGGGGAAUACGAUAAAUUCUACGGAUAAUUAUAGAAACCUCUCCUAAAAUUUCUAAUAAUGAGUUUUUGACUAUUCUAAUAAGAAGGUUUCAAAGAUUACUCCUACUUUUCUUGUCCAUUUAAAAUGAUAAUAUUAACCUUAGUAAUUUUAAUAAAACUCUCUUGUUAUCAUGUUUUGCAAAGGAUGGAUUUUAUAAUUUUUUUUUAUGUUUUUCCUUCUUAUUCAUUUAUCUUAUAAUUCAUUAGAAAUAUAGAAUAGCUAUCAAUGUUGUCCCUAAUAUCUAUCCAAAUUAAACUUUAAACUAGUAAUAUUUUUUUGAUAACUUUUAAUAUCAUCCAAUUUUUUUGUAGCUCUUUUUUUUGUAUCAAAAUCAAGAAUUAGUCAACAAUGAUUAAAAACAAAUAGCCCAAAAUUACUACUAAGUUAUGAUAGUUCCAUCAACAAACUGGUCCAUAAACUUUUAUUCAAAAAAAAGUCCAUAAACUUUAAAAGAAACAAAUUAGCACUUUUUUCUCUAUCGUAAAAAGAAUUUAUAUUGCCAAUAAAGCAUUAUAAAAUGUACCCUAUUAUAGCAAAAAAUUUAUUGUUAUAGUUGAUUAUCAAAUAACAAACAUUGGCAUGAAUAAAUUAACAUUCUUUUUGUUUAGAAUAGCAAAUUGAACUUUGUAAGAUAAGGGCAUUUUAGGAUAUUCAUUAAAUUUUCUACUCUAUUUUAAAGUUUGGUUACCAAAGUGUCAAAUCAAGGGAGGUAAGUAUAAUUUUUAAAAUGUCAAGGGAACUAAGUGAAAUAGUAAGAAACCUCAAUGGAGGCUUUUGAUAUUAUCCAUAAAUUCUAUUUUACAUUUACAUUUACUCUACAUUAAGGAAAAAGGAUGGAUUCAAGAGUGCCAAUAGGGAAUUCGGAGAGGAUUGAACCGCCACCGGACCAGAUGUGUGUUUUUGUACUCGCUGAUGAAAUUUUCAAGAAAUCUUGGACAAUAAUACAGGUCAAGGGAUUCGAUUUACACCUAAAAAGAGUUAAAAACUCUCCUUGGUGACCAAUUACUCUAGGUGUAGUUUGUUUGCUAUAGCUUAAUUGCUUUAGACUUUUUUUUUCCUUUUUUCUUUUUCCUGGCUCUAAAAUGUUCACCCCAUUUGAAAAUUUGAACAGGGCAUGAGCACAAUUUGGGAUUGAAAGUUAAUUGAAAAAAUUUAAUGGUAUUAUUCACUGUGAUAUUUUUUACGUGAUAUAUGUGAAAUAAAAAAAAAUAAUCGAGAAAAGUAUUCUGUGAAUAAUAUAUCAUGCGUUCCUAAAAUGCCCAAAAGUUUUGAAAUAGAUUUAAACGUAUAAUGGGACUUUCUAAUUUUGGUUUUUCUGAAACAAAAAUAAACCAUCGCGUUACUUGUGGGGUUCUUACCAAAACCAUGAAUACUUAUGCCACGAGGUAAUCAUAGAUUGCAAUGUGAUGCGUUGAGAUAAAAAGAAAAAUGAUUAAAAAUGCGUUGAGAGAAUGUUGCUGAAAAAUUCUUUCCAAGGACUAGAAAUCCCUGAAACCAUUACAUUCAUGGAUCAAAUUCGGUUCUUUCAAAAGUCAUAUAUUCUACAACUAAUGGCUGCCAGGUUUUGCAUCCAAUUUUAUUGGAUGUCCUUGAACUCAAAGGGACGGCUACCACGCCAUGGUUAGCGAUGACGCAAAUAUGCUAUCAAUCUCAUGUUAUGUGUCCUUCAAAAAAAAUCUCAUGUUAUGGGCUAAUUGAUUAGAAUAUAGGUGUAAAAAAGAAAAGUCAGACACUUGUGGAUUUGACAGAGUCCAUGUAUAAAACAAUGGGUACCAGGCUGAAACAGCCCGGCACCUGACAGAAACUUUUUUUUUUAAAAAACAUGUCACAUUUUUUUAAAAAAAAAGAUGUCAAGUGCCGGGCUGUGUCAGCCCGGCACCUGACAUCCAAUUGUGAAUGUGAAUUUCACAUUCACUCAAUUGAGUGAAUUGCAAUUCACAUCGAAUUGAGUGAAUUGCAGUUCACUUUAUUUGUUAAGCUAGUUGAUAAAUGCAAUUCACUUUAAUUAGUUUAGUGAAUUAAUUAGUUUAAUUAAUUGAGUGAAUUAAUUUUAAGAGAUUCGAUCAAAUGCAUUUAAUUAAGGUGAUGAAUUAGGUUUAAUUUUUUAUUUAUUAAAUAUUCAUUUAUUUGUUAUAAAUGAUUUAAUUAUAAUGCAUUAUUUGUUGUUAUUUAAUUACACUUUAUUUGUUGUUAUUUGUUAUACUAUUCGUUGUUAUUUAAUUACCCUUUAUUUGUCGUUAUUUGUUAUAUUAUUUCUUAUUAUUUCUUAUAAUUAUAGAAUCACACCUGACAGGAAAUUUUUUUAAAAAAUCUAUCAGGUGUUGGACUGUGUCAGCCUGGUACCUGACCGAAUUUUUCUGAAAAAUAAAAAAAAUUAAUAAGUCUACCAAACAAAAUGUGCCGAAUAACAAAAAUUUCUUAGUGAAACUUUCCCAGUAGAAUUCAAAUCACUUGACUUGAAAUACAAUUAUCUAGUAUUCAUAUUCUUUUAAUUUUGAAUUUUCCUCUUUCAUUUAUAGCUUCUCAUUUUAUUCGCAAGAAAAUAUCGUAAGGCUGAAAUUGUGAUAUGAUUAGUAAUUAUCAAUCGCAAUUUGUGACACGUUGCAUCAUGCAAAAGAUCAAAACCCUAAACACUAAACACUAAACCCUAAACCCUAAACCCUAAACUUUAAACCCUAAACACUAAACCCUAAACCCUAAACCUAAAAACCCUAAUCCCUAAAGCCUAAAGCCUAAACCCUAAAGAUCAAAACCCUAAACCCUAAACCCUGAACCUUGAACCCAAAACCCUAAACCCUAAACAUUUUAGAUUUUGUAUUCAUUCUCGUGUUGGUACUUAUAUUGAAUUUUUGCAUUUUACCAAUUGAACAUAAUGCAUACUAAUAGAACAUCUAUUUAAGUUUUGAAUUUUUUUCGUAGUUUGUAUUGUGAGGAUAAUUUCAUAAAUCUCCCAUACAAAAAAAAAUCAAAAAACCAAAACAAGAAAAAAAGUUUAAUAAAAAGCUGAGUCGACCUGAAGUACUAAAUACUUUGAAAUUUAAGUUAAUUAAUUUACAUUUCAAAGUUGAAACGUAAGAAAAAGAAGAAAAUAGAUUUGUGCAAAAUCACUAAUUACUCCUAUAGAAUGUUAAACUAUGAAAAUUUUUUCAAACAAAAUAUACCAUUCAUUUUGUAAUAAGAUGUAGUUCUCAAAUUGUUGAGAAAUUAUUUGUUAGAAUUUUUAUGUAAUUUUUAAUGUUCACUAUAAUUUUGUAAAACUAAAUUUAUUGUGCAAUAUAUAAAAAAAAGGACCAAAAAAAGAGGAAAAAAUGCAUAGCGUGACAACGGUGAAAUGGCUAGAUAUAAAAAUAAUGAUAAGCAUUCAAAUAAUAAAAGGCUAAAUUCCCAUAUUAUAAUAUUUGAUAUUUAGCAAACAUGUAAUGAAGAUUGUAUAUUUUGUCUACCCAGAAGAUUCCGAUCUAAACCCAAAAGAUUGUAUAUUUUGUCUACCAAAUCAUCAUAACCUACCAUCUCUGUAAGGAACAACACUUGUUUCGGUAUAGAAGGAUCAUAUGAAAUUGACCCUCCUUCGUUUAUAAUUUUUUCACCCCAAUAUACUUGAAUGACCAAGCAAUUAUCACUUGACAUGUUAUACCUAUUAGAGAUGAGUGUUGAUAGCAUUUUAGAACCUCAUUAAUAUGCUUAUUUGAAUAAUUAAUUAAUUGAAUCAAAUAUAUAUAAUUUAUAACAAAUAAAUAAAUAAUUGCGAUUCUAUAAUUAUAAGAAAUAAUAACAAAUAACAACAACUAAAGUGUAAUUAAAUAACAACGAAUAAUAACAAAUAGUAUAACAAAUAACAACAAAUAAAGUGUAAUUAAAUAACAACAAAUAAUAACAAAUAACAACAAAUAAUGCAUUAUAAUUAAAUAAUUAAAUCAUUUAUAACAAAUAAAUGAAUAUUUAAUAAAUAAUAAAUUAAACCAUCACCUUAAUUAAAUGCAUUUAAUCGAAUCUCUUAAAAUUACUUCACUCAAUUAAUUAAACUAAUUAAUCCACUAAACUAAUUAAAGUGAAUUGCAUUUAUCAACUAGCUUAACAAAUAAAGUGAAUUGCAAUUCACUCAAUUGACUCAAUUGGAUGAAUUGCAAUUCACUCAAUUGGAUGUCAGGUGCCGGGCUGACACAGCCCGGCACUUGACAUCUUUUGUCAAAAAAAAUGUGUCAGGUGCCGGGCUCUGACAUGUUAAAAAAAAAAAAAGUUUCUGUCAGGUGCCGGGCUGUCUCAGCCCGGUACCCAUAAUUUUAUACAUGGACUCUGUCAGAUCCACAAGUGUGUGACUUUUCUUUUUUACACCUAUAUUCUAAUCAAUUAGCCCAUGUUAUGUGAGAAGGUCGAAAUUUGAUGGGAAAGAUAUGAAAAGCUUUGUUGACUUACUGUUGGUCCGAAACCUGCAUUUUCAGUCUUUAGCCCCACUUAAAAAGGAACCUGUCGUUUUUUCCAUUAGAUUUAAAACUUAAGUAGGAAUAGUCAAGAGACUGCUGGGCACCAUCAAGAUUCAAGACUUUGUGACAGUGAGAGGUAAAGGAUUAAAUCUUAUCUUCCAUCGUAUAAUUGUCAUUUAAUUGUGACUGUCACUUCAAAUGAUUCCAAUCGAUAGAAUUUUUCAACUGGCUCCUUCUCUCCUUAAGCUAGGUUAGGGUACAAAAAAAAAAAAAAAGUAAGAAUAGUCAAACUUUGUUUAAAUGGAAUAAUGAUAAAUUUACCAAUUUUUCCUGAGGUUGAAAUUGUUAUAGGGAAACGUUGGGUGUCAAAAUGAAAAUCCUACAUGUUUUCUUCUUCCUCAACAAUCCAACAAACACUUCAUAGCCACUAGAUAUUCUUAGGAAAUUUCUCUUUGAAUUGGCUUAAACCCGACCGUAAAUAUUUUUAUCCAGGCAAACUUCAACUCUCCCCAUGGAUGAGUACAGAAAUUUGAAUCCCACAGAAUAGAGUAUUCUUCAGCCAAUAGCAAGAAGAAUAUGCAGCCACAGUUCUCCAUAAUUAAACCUAAGAUCACGGCUAAACCAUGAUGGAAGCUGCGACCUCUUCUCCUACUCUCUUUGUUGCAUGACCUUGUUUGGAGAGUCAUUUUUUUCAAAAAAUUUAUACGUUUAAGUGAAUACAAUUUUAAAAUCACCGUUUUAUUUCAAAUAUAUCAAAUUGUUAUAGUAUUUUUUUUAUAAAAAAUUCAGAAAAUAGCAAUCUGUUAGGAUUUUUGUGGGCUAGUCAUUUAUGAGUUUGGUUUUUGUUAUUGAUUUUAUUUGAUGAAGACGAAUAAUACUGAUUAUGAAGAAGUGGAAUUUGGCAGCUUCUUGUUUUUCUUCCCCACUUGCCAAGACUAUAAAUCUGGGGAGUCGCUGGCCAGGAAAGGGAGUGGGAAUGGGAAUGGGAAUGGAGAGGGUAGUCAACAGUAGACACAUAAUCUUAAUAGCAAUUACAACUUUUAUUAUCGCUUUUUACAUUUUUCAUGAAUACAUGUUCUAAUCACCUUUUUACUCGUAUACAUUAAUACAUCAAAUUGUUAUAAUAUAUUUUUCUAUAAAAAAUUUUAAAAAAUAGCAAUCCAAACGGACUAGCAUUUUAUUUUAAUUAAAAGCAUAAAAGAUUUAAAUGUAAGUUUUCAAACCAUAGAUAGCUAACAUGUACACUUGAUUAACCACAUGAGGGUUCUUUGUAUUUUAUCCAAAAUUUAUACUGUCUACUCUCUAGAGUUCCUGGGUGCCGGAACAGCCGUGGGUUGGUUUUGCUCCAUUUUUUUUUAUUCAUUCCGAUGCUUUUACUCCAUUGUAGCACAUAAAUAAAUGCAUCUUACUCAAAGUCUUUUUUUUUUCAUUUCACUGUCAAAAGUGAAUACUUUUAAGAAAAAAAAUUUCCAUCUAUAGCUUUAUUUUCCUAAAAUAGAAAAACAAUGAGGACGCCAAUUGGACCUUUUGGAAUCUUUAGAAUUUUUAUUAAAUCCAAGAAGAUAAGAUCAUUUUUAAGGCGGCUAACCAUAAGCUUUUGGACUGGUCUGAACUACCUAAAAGCAUGUGACCAAUUAAGGAACUCCAAGACGAGGAGAGAACUUUUGCUACCCCUUAAGUGUCAUGAUACACUUUGUAUAGCUGAUUGAGCCGUUGUUCAAAUAUUGUAAAGCCUAGUUUAUUAAUAAAAUUAUUUAUCGUUUCUUAAAAAAAAAAAAAAAAGACCAAUUAGGGAACUCAAUUCAUUACAGCUAAAGAAGCCCAGAAGUGGGCAACAUAUCUAUGUGACAUAGGGAAAAAAGUAGCUUGGCCUAGUAAUUUGAUAUUCAUAACGCGGUACUGCUUCUGUCAUUGCUCACCUAAGGUAACAAAUGCAAGUUUGAAGAAUUUAAUAUAAAACUUUUUUAUAUUUUUCGUAAACAUAUUUUUUAAUCACUUAUUUAUCUCAUGUAUAUUAUAUUAUUAUAAUAUAAUUUUCUACAAAAAUUUCAAAAAAUUAGCGAUCCAAACAAGACCUGAGAUUGGAGCUGUCCCGCACAAAAAAAAGAGGAAAAAGAAAAAAAGAAUUGGAAUUGAGUUCCCAAAUUGGUCAUGACGCAUAUAAAAAAUAAUGAAGAGAGUUAAAAAAAAAAAAAAACUCAUAAGCGAGUCCAAUAAUCUAAUGGACCAAAUUUCACGCACGUGAGGCCAAUUUAUAAGGAGGCGUUUGGUACACUAGGUAUGAAGGGAGAACGGAUAGUAUAAUUGGUCUAUGAUACCGAUUCCUAACUUGAACCGAACUUCUCCCAAGUGUUGCUUAAUUUUUUCACAUUGAACUAGAUGGAAGAGCUCAUCCAAUUGUGUGGUCUGAUCUGGGGUUUAGAAACACAGCUAUAAAUAAGGUCAUCAUACCUUAAAGAUAGAAUCAUGAUGGUCACCAAAAAACGGUCCCGGUGAGAGAAAAUAAAUAGUAUGUAGUAUGUAGAUUUUUGAAAAGUAUUCAUUCACCAACUCGUCUUGUAAAUUACUCCACGGUAUUAUCAUCCUCACUUAACAGUAAUAUACAUGAAAGGAAUGUCAACGUGCAUAUGUAUUAGUACAAUGUCGAAUUAAUUAGAAGUUGGCUUAAGUAGAAGAGAAAUAAACCAACACAAAUUGACUCAAUUGAUAAUAAUAGAAUAUUUUUUUACAAAACAUCGAGUGUUUAAAUUUCGCAAUCGACCGAUGUGAGAUUUAUGUUGAUAAGUGAUCUGUAAGUACUCCUGUAAACGAUUUAUUUGAUUCGAAAGAUAUAUUCUGAUCCUCCCUCUCUGAUAAUAAUUGGAGUAGAAUCCAAUUAAACAUUUUUCUACCGAAAACAAGAAGAAGAGAAAUUACUAGUACUACUUUUUAAGUGCAUUGAAAAAAGAGUUGGUAGUGGCGACACCUGUCAGCAAGUGGGUGGGGGUUAUUUCUUUUAUGUUAAGUGGCUUAGGUUUAUUGUGAACCUUUUAGGUUAUCUGGUUCAGACUUUCUAGGAGGAAGAAAUGAUACCGAGGAAGGCUGUGGCUGAUGGCUCUGUGAGGAAAUUAUGGAGAUGUGAUUGCCGAUUGGGCCGAUGGGGAGGGACCACUGACUCUCUCUCCUUCUGGUUCUGGAAGUAAAUCAGGCGCGCCUUCCCCAGCUCAGCUCAACCGGGAUGUGGGGCGCCCAUGGGAAGUAGACAACAAGCAAUUUUCCAAAAUUGGGAGGGGGCGCUGAUUGGAUGUCAACAAUAUGUACUCUACGGAGCAAGCAAGAUGUCAAAUGUACGUCGUGAGAGGAGAGUAUUUGAUCCUGCUUUGCAUUUCAACAGUGCCAGCACAUAUAGGUCCUGACGUCCUGUACUCAUGUUCUUGAUGUGUGGUGUGAAGUCAGCUUUUUGUCAUUUGGUAGUAUUUCUCUCCGAGUGCGAUCCUUUUAUAAAUCCAUGGAAGUGUAAUUUUAUAGGUAUUGCAUUUUCCGUUUGCAUUUUGUAGGGAUCCUUUUAUAUACCCCUGUUUGGAUUGCAUUUUCUGUCAUUUUUCAUGAAAAAAUUACUGUAGCGAUUUGAUGUAUGUGAGGAAAAAAGAUAAUAGAAAAAUGUGUUCAAGAAAAACGACAUAAUUUUUCGACAAAAAACGGCAAUCCAAACAAGGCCGAAUCUUUAAAAAACACAGAGUCAAUCCAAAUAAAUCCAAUUGAAUGAUGUUUGUCCAAAAUAUCCCCUUUUACCUCUUCUCGACGACCAGACAUCCAUCAUUGACAACCUCUAUCAUCUGCCACCGCUAUCCACAAUUGCUCUCCAUACUUUAUUUGAAUUUCAAUUUUAUAAGAAAAUUUUUUUACAUUUUUUAUGAACAUAUUUUUUAAUCAUCUAUUUAUUUCGCAUACAUCAAUUAUUUCAUUUCAACAUUUCCAACAUAUAUAGAUCCUGGCGUCAUGUACUCAUGUUCUUGAUGUGUGGUGUGAAGUCAGCUUUAAAAAAAAAAUGUUAAUGUAAAAAAAAAAAUUACUAUAAUGUCAGUGCAUAAAAAGUUAAUCCUUUUUUAAAAAUAUAUGUAAUAUACAUGAGGUGAAAAUGUACCUAGGAAAUAAUCUCCAACAAGAUUUUCUAUAAAUGCAAACAGUCAUAACAGAGUUUUUAUAGACAUUUUGUGCACCAAGAAAGGCCUAAGAAUGUUGCCAUAAAAAUGGAAAAAAAAAAUAUUAUGUAGCGUCUAUCUUCUAACAAUUUUCACAGCCAAUUCCGUCUCUAAAUUCAGCCACGAACGAAACUCAGCAAUUGGCCUUUACGUUCAAACUUCAGGUCCCAAUAAAUUUUCUCAAGCGUGACAAAUUCGUACAGCGGUAACUUUUAUUUGGAUUGUCGGUGCCAAUCACUUCACGAAACGGAAUUGACGUUGCAACCACUUUGCUUGACAUCAUAAACAUUAUACAAAAAGAUAUACAGAGAACACGUCCACAUAAUUUAGUGCGUGGUCAUUUACGAACGAGUCUGCAUCACAAUAUUCUAUCCAAUUGCAAUGAGCCCUCUGGUAUGGUGCCCUGUGACAUCCCCUAUUCCAUAAUGUUGGGCUCGUGGUUCUCAUUGAGCCAAGAGUUUACCCUUAAAACCAUAGAAAAGUGUUAUAUCCUCGUGUAGGGUGUUGUAUAAUUGCACGAGCAAUGUUUUCCUAUCAAAGAAAGAAAAGAAUGUUGGAUUGAACAUGUUGGCGAUCUUUUAUUGGUAACUCUAAUUUAGGAUAUGUAACUGUUUCAGUGUACAGUACGUUAUCAUGUUUUUAAGGUUCUAAAAGGGUUAGGCUAGGCACAAAUAUGUAGAAGUAAUUAUACAUUUACGGAUUUGGCCACUAGACAAUUAAGGUUUUUGAAAAAUGAGUUCAAAUGAUGGCCAUUUGUUCUUCUUUUUUUUUUUUUUAAAUGUACCAAACAUUUAAAGAUUCUUCUUUUAUUUUAAUAUUUUAUUCUUAUUUUGAAUAAACCUAUUAUGUGAAGUUCGAAAGCUCGUUGAACUCAAUUGAACUUUGCAUAUAUAUGUUUUUAAAUUUUUGUUUAUUAGUAUAAAAUAUCUAUUUUCUCCCUUGUUUAAAAUCAUAUAAAAUAUAAAUUUUUAUUACUUAAACUCCAGUGGACUCUAUUAAACUUUACUGAACUCAAAUUAACCUCGUUUGGGCUCAAUUCGAUCGAGUUCUAGUAAAGACAAAAUAACAUCGAACUCAAACUCGAGUUUGACUUUCAAAUGCUUGUAGAGUUUAAACUCAAAAUCAAACCCAAGUUCUUUAACUCGAGUCCAGUUAGAGUGUCGACUCGACUCGAUUGCACGCAUACCUUUGACUUGUAUUGGAGCAAAGAACUUGGCUUGAAUUCUGACAUUCAAGAUGAUGAAUAAAUAAAAGAUCCUGAUCGCAUAUGCUGUCAAGACUCAUCAAAGGACAAAUUAACAUCCUCCUAUAGUUUUACUCUGUUGCUCAUUGAGGCAAUUCUUAGAGAAAGUGUCGAGCAUCUUGAUAGGACAAAGACGCUUAUAGUUGCGGAAUGAAUUAAGCAGCCUGAAUAUAAUGAGGGCACGAGUAUUAUGGCAGCCUGAAACCAAUGCAUGUGUAGCUAGUCAAUUGCUUUGCAUCCGGUACAGAUAUUUUUCUUGGAACUGAAAUGGUCCUCCAAUUGCCAGAGAAGGUUUGCUGGUUAUAUGAUGUACAAACCCUUUGGUGGAAAACUCCAAUUUUUUUGCGGCUAAUUUUGCUUUCGGAACCUACAAUGAAUUAAAGCUGAAAUAACCCAUAAUACAGAGGGGGGCUCCAAAUUUAAGCUGAGUUGCAAAGAUGGAUUCCCUGCGUUCAAUUUGUUUAUUAUUUCAAUUCCAAGUAAACCGAUACCAAGAUUAAGUGAUCCAAGAAUUCAGUUCGUGUUGCUGAGGAUAUCUUCUAAAUCUUUUUUAUUAAUAUUUUUGUUAUUAUUAUCUCAUUGUCGGUGGCAGGGCAAUCUUGGUGAUAAAGCGCAUAAUUAAUUAGCCAAAUACAUGCCCCCUAAGCGAGGAGUUUGGCUGGUAACCACAUGCGGUAAUAUCCCGUAGGUAGAGCUGUUAAGUCAAUCGAGUAGCUCGAAAGCUCGUUAGAGCUCGGCUCGUUAAGGCUCGAGCUCGGCUCGUUAAUUUUGGUUAACGAGUCGAGCUCGAACUCGAAACAUACUCGUUUAGUUAACGAGCCGAAUAAGCUCGGCUCGUUUGAUACUCGAGUAGCUCGUUAGAUCUCGUUAAUGAAGGGCAUAUUUGUCAUUUUAGAAAUUAAAAUUAUAAAAAUUAAAAAUUAUAGGUUUUUAUUAAGGUUAAUUUGCACGAGCUCGAGCUCGAGCUCGUGAAGCUCGACUCGUUUGUGAUAAAUGAGUCGAGCUCGAGCUCGAGCUCGAGCCACAUGUACAUUUAACGAGCCGAGUUCGAGCACAUUUUAAAGCUCGUUUUCCUAACGAGCUCGAGUCGAGCUCGGCAGCCAAAUACUCGGCUCGAUUAACAGCUCUACCCGUAGGUCAUCAGUUUAGGUUCCGUUGUGGGAUCGUGCUUUCAUCCUUGAGCAGGGCUCUGCAAGUCAGGAAGUGAAUUAAUCUGACUAAACUGAGUUAGCUGGUGCAGCUACGGUUAAUGCACUUUGGCAACUCUUGACUUUUCAGAGGGCUAAACAAAUAUCUAUCUGUUAAUGUUCCUUGAUUAUGACAAGCACUCCAUUCUUUUUGCUACUAAUAUAAUUGGGACUGGGGGACCAAAAAUAGAUUAAAAUGGUGCAUGUCGUGUUCGGGGCGAGCAUGACUUCCGCAAUAAAAUAUUUUGAAAAUUGACUCCAAUAAUUUCAUAAGAUUUUCUUUGUUCUCCCUUUUUUUUUUUUCCUUUCCUUUUGUUUUUAUUCUGCCUACCAGAAAGUAAGGAGCAAAAUUGGACGUAUCUUUUAAGAAGAAAAAUUAGAAAUCAUCAAAAAAUUAUAAAUGAGAAAUUUAAAAUAAGUAUAAGUUCCAAAGGAUUAAUUAUUAUGAAUCCUAGUAUAGUUGGAGGAAUUGUGAAGGGGAAAAAAAUUAGAAUUGCCGUUUAGGAAGAGUGGAUGUUUGAGAUGAAUUGAAUGAAAUUGGGAAGGAUCAAAGAUUGAUGCGUGGUUGAUGGAGAAAUAUAUUGGCUUUAGGAGUUAGCUUCAGAAUUAUACAUAAUAAUCCACCCCCCCCCCCUCCUUAUGUUCGUCAUUGUUUACGAUUGGGUGUACAUAAAUUAAAGUUGGUCUUUUAUUCUGAAGCAGGAAACUUCCCGUUUCGUGUCAAACUAGUUGUCGUAUGCAAGACAAGAUUUUCUGUAAAUUAUGCUGAUAAUAACGACUAAACACUACUAUUUCUUAAUAUAUAUUUUACCAAGAAAGUUCUCCAUAUUCUUUUCACCAUUCUUUGAAAAGAAAGACAUUUUUAAUUAGCAGAAAUAGUGCAGCCCCCCAAAAGACUAUUAAUAAUUACUUAUAGGCAAAGCUUCCAAAGGGCAAAGGCAUGACUUUUCCAAUUUGGGAUUGAUUGUUUCUUUUUCUUAGCAUUUUAAUGUUUGACUCACUUUUUCUUUCUCCUUUUUUGGGUUGUGGCUUCUAAUGAUGUGUUUUUGCUUUUGCUAAUUUUGGUGAUGUACUAUUAUUAAAGCAACGAGUUUCCAUUCACUGCAAAAGAAGAAUCAGCAGCUCAAAAUAGCAUUGCCAAAUCCCUUUUGCUUCUUGAUUGUACUAAAUAGCGAUAAUGACUGCUCAAUAUAUGCCUCACCACUUCAGCAUCGUUUUAUGAUUAGUCCACGUAAAAAGCCUUCUGGAAGAGGCAUUUACAACAAUAUCUUGUGCCUGUGGACAGGAUUUUUAACCUUGCAUUUAUAAAAGUUUCUUUUUCAUUUCAUUGUCAAUCCUUAAAAAUGAUGCUUAGAUAGAAGAGUUUCACCACCUGCAAUAAUGAGUGCAAGCUACACAAAACAACUAUAUAACGGUGUAUGUAUAAAAUAAAAAGAUGAUCGAAAAUUGUGUUUAGGAAAAACUUAACAACUUUUCCAGGAAAAACUUAAGGCAAUCAAUAGUUCUAAAAUUUCAUGGCCCAAAACUGCAGGCAGGCUUGGACCGUGGGCCAAAAUUUGGUGGGAGGCGACACUCGUAAAGUGUACCCUUUAUAGAGCAGAGAUCCUUGCAUGCAUCAAUUGCAUAAACACCUGCCAAGCUAGUAAAGGUACCAGUGACCUGAUUUCAUUCAAGGUCUAAAAGUACUUUUCCGUCUUGGAGUGCAUCAUACCCAAUGUUAUGUUUGGAUUGCAAGUUUUAGCACGAAAAAUUCCAAACUAUUCCUUUGAUACGUUUAUCAAUCAUCUUUUUGCCUCAAAUAUAUUACAUCGCGACGGCAUGUAUUACCCACCCAAGUAGAACGAACAAGCACCAACUCUUAAAGAGAGAGAGAGAGAGAGAGGGGGGUCAACAAACAAUCACAUUUCCAGGAACAAACUAUACUCAUGUCCAUUCAUCUCCUAUCGAGGGCCAAAAAAUUUAUGCACUCAAUAUGAAAAUGCACAGCAAAUUCAGGCGCUGUCAUCUGAUUUCAACAUCGUGGGCAAAAUUUUGAAUACUGCACGAAAACAUUUGCAGAGCAAAGUGCAAUUACAAUAUUCUAAACUGUCUUCAAUCCCACUUCCCUCUCUCUUCAAACCAAGUAGGAUGUUCAGAAGCAAAACUGCAUUG
rnacentral:lncRNA from 1 species